rnacentral:lncRNA from 1 species
UCACAUCAACCACAUGUUCCGAGCUCCUGGCGCGAUUCUUGUGGCCUAGAUCUUUCUAGGGUACUAUUACUCAUGUAUGAUUUAUGUCCUAAUUGUAUUCCAUCAUAGUAUCAAAAUAUCCAUCUGACCUGAGCAUACCCUAGUGUUGUCUAAUAGAUGAAAUCCAUCUGACCUGAGCGUACCCUAGUGUUGUCUAAUAGACUGGUUCAUUCAAUCAGAAAUAUGUUUUGAAAUGAUUGUGUUGAUGCGUUUGGCAUCCUUUUGAAUGGCAAGAGAUUUCCCUGUUGACCAAGCUAGGAUGCAAUCAUAUUGGUUCUUCUAUGAUCUAGUAAUGCUGGUGCCAAUGUAUAGGAAUUAGUUGACUGCUUAUUGGCAGACUUCAGAAAAGUUGGCCCCAUUUCAUCUAGCAACCAUUUUCUGAUAUAAAUGUCCUUGUUAUCUACUAUUAUCUAAAAAUAAUCAAGUUAUUAAUGACUGGACGAAACCAAGAAAUAACCCCUUAUGUGCGAAAUUAUAGAAGAUCCCCUUUAAGAUCAAACAAUUCCAUCGAAUUGAGUAUGACUGUAUGUGUGAUAGCAUCUACUAUACCCCUAUAUUAGUAGAUGUUAAUGAAUUGAUAAGAGACUUGUACCAUCAAGCUAUUCGCAAGGGCCAACUUGAUCCUCUUCCCCAGGGAUCCCAGAUGAGGGAAGCCUAGGAGAGCCGCCGACUCCAACUAUCGUCCAUGUACGAUCCAUACUAGAUCUGACCAACUACCCAUCCUACCUCCUCUACCUUUUUGACAGCCCAUUUUUUUUGUCUCAGUAGAGUCUUUCAGUGGCAUGUUUCAGUCCUCUUCCCCAUUACUUAGAAAAAGUGAGCCACCGGUUCAGGUACAAGUUACUAUCAUUACCGCCUGGACAAUUAGACAGCCAACCCGUAAUCGCAACGACCCAAUUGCAAGAGCGGAGCCUCAUUUCAGGAACAGGACAAAAAGUGCACAAAAGGUGUACUGUGUCAUCUUUGUAAAUAACACAGGAUUUGUGUGCGGGUGUGUUGGGUGGGUGAGUGGGGGGCUAAUCAUGCAUACUCGCUGAUAGUUGGAUUGAGAGUGUUGCCUUACUCUCCUUAUAUAAUUUUCGCUACAAUACCUCCUUAGUGCCAUUUGCAAAGGUUUUUUUUGAGGGAGUUGCUUAAGUUUUUCAGUUGGCUGGUGUACCGGUUUGAUAGUUGAAUUGAUGUAGCUUCACGAUGUGACAGGAGAGAGGUAGCAAGAGGAGGGUAGAUUAUUGAAUUGUACACUCUGCACUUCUUUUAUUGAUAAACUGCACAUCUUUGAUAAACUGGUGGCAUUCAGGUGGACACAAAUGGUAGGGGAGCGCUUGAUUAUGGGGAAUUUUUGGCGGUCUCUCUUCAUUUGCAAAGGAUGGCAGAUGACGAGCACCUUCGGCGGGCCUUCCUAUUUUUUGACAAGGAUGGCAAUGGCUUCAUUGAGCCUGAGGAGCUUCGAGAGGCUCUAGUGGACGAUGGAGCAGCUGAUAGCAUGGAAGUGGUGAAUGACAUAUUGCAAGAAGUUGACACUGAUAAGGUCAUUGUACUCUCAUAUCUAAUACAACUGUUAUUUUGGUUCUCCGUUCAUCUGAAUGAAUAUCUUCUCUAUUUACAUCUGCAGGAUGGCAAGAUUAGCUAUGACGAAUUUGUAGCGAUGAUGAAGACCGGUACAGAUUGGAGAAAGGCGUCCCGGCACUAUUCAAGAGGAAGGUUUAAUAGCCUUAGCAUGAAGCUUAUAAAGGAUGGUUCGGUAAAAUUGGGUGUUGAGUGAAAACAGCGACCUGCAUCCAUAUGUGUGCAUGUAGUUAGGCCCUUGGCUCCACUAAGCAGAAGUUCUUUGGCCCCCUUUUCUUUUCUCAUGAUUAUCUUGCGUGGAAAUUUAGAUAGGUGAACCCUCUGAUUGGCUUACCUGUGUAAUUAGCUCUCCUGGUUUCGCUGACAAGCACGCACUGAGCCGAAUGUACCAAAUGCUGUGCGCCUGCUUUUCUCCAGUUUGAUCCUGUGGCACCUGAUGCCAAGUGUUGUACAACACAAUGUGUUUACAGUCUUGAAAUGCAGUUUGUUGACCUAGCGUGAUGGCAGUGGCAAAGUUCAUUAUAUCUGGUUUGUAUCGGCAGAUGCCGAAUGUGCUAGACUGCAAGUGAGUGGUAGCCUGCCUCCUGCCUGCAAUGUGAUGCCGAAAUAUAAGAUAUGAUGCAAUUGUUCACCUAGUACACUGGGUGGGUGGUGCAACGCAGACAAUAUCGGAUGCUGCUCUAUCUGCCUGCCAAGCAAAUUGCUCUCACCCUGAUGCUUUCGUGACCGAGAAGCCGGGUGACCUCGAUGGUGCCAGCAUUCCGCCACGUGAUAUGCAUCAUGCUGAACGCUGGAGUGCACAAAGCCAGAACCACGAACCCCUGGCCGCAUCAGCCGUGGAGCAUAAUAUGGUAAGGCUAAUGUGGCCGAAUUCCCGGCGGGAACAAGAUUAAGCCGGGAAGCACACGGCUCCAUUUGACAGGCAUCCGCACCUCCGCAGGUGAGGUGAAAAAAAAAAUCCGUUCUUGUCACCAAUGGCCGAAUAAAUCCGUGUGCGCCGCUCACUGCUUUCCGUCCGCCCGCCUCGGGAUAACAUUCAUUUCAUGUGCUGCUUGCUCUUCGCUAAUCCCCCCAACUAAACCGGACCUGAUGAGCUGCCGUGCCGUGCCACGCCGCUGUGUUGGCAGGCUAUUGGCUGCCUACUCGAACCGCACCGUGCCAACUAUCGUGGAACAUCUGCGCCAACACGAGUAGUAUUAUCUACUACCGCCGUCGUCAAAAAGUGGCCGAGACUUGUGUGACGAGGUGCGCGAUUCUACGAGCACGCCGGCACGCACGUCAGGUUCAGAGUGGCAUGGUCAGCCAUGUAAAAGUUGACCCAGGUUGAAGUCACUCGCCACUGCCACUAGUACCUCAUCCGCCACUCGCUCCUCCUCGCCCGUCAGCACUGCGCAGACAGCGCGACGUGCGGCGCUGGCCCCACUGCCCCGCGCGCCGGCCGACGUCACAUCUCAGAGGAAGGGGGGAAGCAAAGCGCGAGGCCGCAACGCAAACGUGCGCCGGGAGCCUGGCCGGACGAGCUGGAGCCUGUCGGCGAGGCGACGCAGUUGGCUGGCGCUGGCAGCGACCGGCCCACUGGCACUGGCCUGUCCGUCCGGUCUGCGCGAGGAGGCGGGUGCGCGGCGCGCCGCCAAAACGCGCGGCCCCCAACCCCAAAGGCAAAGGAUUGCCAGUGGCCGGGGGUGGCUGUCGGCAGCAAAAUUCCGUUCCCACCGGGGCUCUUGCGGCGGCGCGCGUUGCGGCGCUGCGCCUAUUGGCUGGCUCCGGCUCACAUACUCGUUGCUGCCGCGCCGGCGCCGCCACUAGCUCUGCCGCAUUGCAUAUGCCACCGGCGGACGCCGCUUUCUUUCUCGCGAGCGGCCACAGGCCACGCGGCCCUGCGCUGCGCCGUCCGCUGCGUCCCGCUUUGCUCCGGACUGUGCGUGUAUAUGUGUGUAUAUAUAUGUAUAUAUAUAUAUAUGUAUGUAUAUUAUAUAUAUAUAUGUAUAUAUAAAAAUAAAGAUGCAUUCGCGGAUGCGACGGUACAUGAAUGGGGUAGGGCCGGACCGGAGCCGAACGGGAUGGAUGCUAGCUAAUUAAUCAAUCGAGGACAAAGACAUCAUCAUCAGAGGCCCCCAGUUCAAUGCGGCUGGGUUCCGGACUGGACGGCAAUGGCACGCCAUGUGGCCGCCGAUCUCAUCUCCGGAUCCUUCCGCGGCGCCGGCGAUGUCUAUCUGCAAGGCAGUACGCACGAGGUGAAUUGUCUGUCCCAUGCCCUACUUUGCUCUGCUCUCCGGCAGGCCGCACGCACCGUAGCAUGCCAUGCCGCUGCCCGCUGGUACAAACUGAGAUCACUGUCGCUUGCUCGGACGCUGGCAGGGAAUCUUGCCGAUCAUGCAACGAUAGAUAUGCCAGGAUUUCUCUUCAUCGGAGCAGCUUCGAUCUUCUGGUAUCGGGCAAACUCAUCAGGUUGCCGACGACUUGUUUUUGUCUCUUAGCAAUAUUUUACAAUUGCGGCGGGCUAACGGUAUACAAGGCCAGUCUCACUGCACAAUUUCAUGGCACAGUUACUAAGGCUGAGAACUUAACUGUGCUUGCUGGAUUUCAUGGUGAUGAAACUCCCUCUCAUCUCUCCUCAUAAUGACCUUGCCACGUAAGCAAAAAUUGCUAAUGCAGCAUUGAUAUUUAAUGAUUAUGAAAUUUUUGAUGAAACUCUAAAAAUCAGGCUAUGAAUUAGACCAGGCAACUAUAGAUUUCCAGAUGGGCCAGGCCCAUUGGACAGCCCGAGACCCGACACUAAAAAGCACGGCACGAGCACAGGCCCGGCACGAGGUGAAUAGUGGCAGGGCCAGCCCAGCACCAUGAUAGUGCCGGGUCUAGGCCGCAUCCUCGGCACGUUGGGCUAGCACGAGCCCAGCACAAUUUUUAAGCUCGCCCGAUGCCAGCCUGAUACCCUAGCAACCCUCUCCAACCGUUAGAUGAGCAUACGCUCCCCUCCCCACCGUUGGACGAGCAACCCACGCCACCACGGCUGCCCCUCGACCCUUCCCCCGGCUCCCCUCACGCCUCCAUCGGGGGCUGUCCGCCGUCGCUACCUGGAGGGGCGUCCACCGGUGCUGGGGUCGCCGCGGCCGCGAGGCGCUCCUGCCGUUGCUGGGGGCCACCAUCGCCGGGGCACCCCUCCACCACCGCCACCCCUCCCUCCCUCCAUCAACUGUCACCCCUCCCUCCCUCCAUCAACCGUCGCCCCUCCCUCUCCUCACUCCUCCUCCGCCGCCACCACCCCUCACUGUUCCGUCGUCGCCGCUGCUGCGGGGGACGCGAUCGGGACCCGGUCGCCGUGCUGGUCGCCGCCAGGGUUGCCGCCGGGGGUCGCCGCGGGGGGCGGCUACCGCCAUCGCCCGCCGGGGGCGCCUGGAGCUAGCCGUCGCUGCUAGUGUCAGGCCGGGCACUAGCACGGCAGGACCCGUCCUGUCAGCGGGCUGGCUCGGCCCGAUAAAAAGGCCGUCGGGCCGGGCCUGCCUUCUCGGUAUGCAAUGCCAGCCCGGCCCGGCACGAAAACCUUUCGGACCUAUUAGUACCGGGCCUAAGUAGUACCGGGCCACAUCCGGCUAGUGCUGGGCUAGGACCGGGCGGCCCAUUUGGAAAUCUGUACGGGCAACCCAGCCGCAGCACACAAAUCCCUGCACUGCAUGGUCGACCGCUACAACUAGACAAGUCGCAUCCACGUGUUGCCACAGCGCCGCUCCGGCUCUCUCCGCGGCCGCUGGCUUCUUCUGUCGUCUCCCGCUUUAUCUAUCCCAAAGCUUCUUCAUUUGUCAUUCUCACAUGCAGAGUCCACAGCGCAUUGCGGCGACCCCCGGCCGCCAUUAACACCGUCGGCACUUUGGCGCUUUGCACUCCGUAGCUAACUGUGCCAUGUGGAGAUGGUGUCGCCGUCAGUUAGGAGGAGAACCUAAUUAAUGGAACCGUCACUCAGCCCAUGCGGCGAGCCGACCGAGAGGCAACACGACAAGAAUGGGGCACUACUCCCAUAAAUUGGAAAGGAUGGAUAUGCCAAACCAGGGAAUAGUUGCUUGUUGUCGUGACACCCGAAAUCCUAUCAGGUGUCCAUGCUUAGCCCGCAAACAUGAAACCAGAUAUCUCCUAAUGGGUGUUUUUCCAAGGAAAUUCUUUUGGUUGGGAUCUUUGCUUUUGUGGCCAUGGCUAAACUGACAUGUAAAUAGAUUCGAAACAAGUAUUCGUCAACAAGAAUAACUAAGGGGCAUACGAGAUUUAUAAUUAACCAUUUGAGAGUUAUGAUUAUUUUUUAGAUGCCAAGAAGUCAUCUGCGAAAAGAAAACAACUUAUUUGAGUAGUUCCUUUGGACCAUAUAAAUGUUUUACUUACUCCAUUACAAGUUAUACAUUGAUUUGUGCAUCGCAAUUAAGAUAUAGUAGAUAAAAUAAAUCAAUCAGUUAUAUAUAGCUACAAUUGUCAUAUCUGAAUUUCAUAAAAAAAGGAAAGGUGCAUUUUUUUAUUUCCAAGACAGCUUAUAUUUCAAAUAAUUAUUUAUUUAACAAGAAUUAAAAGAGAAAAUGUGUGUUUUGAAUGUGCAAGACGACUUAUAUUUCGACUAAUGUUGAGAAAACUAGAAUGUCUUGUAUGUUAGAAAUUUAGGCAUUUUAUGGCAUAUUUUAAUUCCGAAUAUAAUUAAGUAACUCAUGAUUAUUGUGAGUGACACAGAGCAUGUGCAAGUGUUUAUGUUUGUAACACAUUCGAAUAUAAACAGAAUGAAAAGGAAGAACCAAAGAAGGUUCAGUGUAGAAGGUUCAGUGUGUACCCAGGGGCGGGACCAUUGUCGGAGGCAGUGGAUGCGCCGUUCAUAGAACUGGAAGUAUCAGACAUUGUGCCUGAAUCUUCGGUUCGGACUGUUUGAUGUAGUCGAUCAGAGUUGGCGCAGUGACGACUUGGUGCAGUGCAGUCCCUCGAACGCCUCCAAGAAGUAGUAGGACGUAGUCGUUCGCAGCGAGUAGUCGCGCAGAAGAUGCGCUCCCUAAAAACUUGAUCGCCUGCCUACUCGUGCAAGUGUCGCAGCAAGAUGAAAUUUCGGAGGCCUGCUCACACAAGCUCUGUGUGCACAGAGGCUCGCGAUGGAGAUGCAAAAGUAGCAGCGGGCAACAACAAAAAGGGGGAAGAGAGUGGGUUUUUCCAGAGUAUGUUAACCAGAGUGCGAGCACCUUUAAUAGACACAAGAGAAAGGAGAUUCAACACACUGUCUCAGGUGAUUGAUAGCCAUUAACCAGCCAUUCAACGGUGUCAAUUACCAGUAACCUCCAGCCGUCAUUGUUGUCAACCUUUUAAUUCACGUCAGUUACUGGUCACUAAACAUAGCGUCACUUACUAGUCAUCAACUCGUGAUUAAAAACUACAAAACUAGACCAAGCCCAGCCCACACGUUUCCACGCCACGCUGGGCCUCGGCACGGCUCGGCUCGGUGAGCGAGCACGCGCGCGUGUGACACCCUUUCUCUCUUCCUCAACUUCUCAAUUAGUGCAUAGAUAAUCCACCUAUUUAAGUUUAUUAAGAUACUCCUUAACUACGCAUUUAGGAUUAACUGAGAUUAAAUGAAAUAAAUGGGCCUAGCCCAAAUAUUCCAACAUUGUAUAUAUGAAAAUACUCUAAUGGAUAGAAGAACACAAAGUUUGUCAUCAAGUGUAAUAACAAGUAUGCUUUCUAAAAUGAGUUUACACAAAAAAACAAACAUGUCGAAACACACUUUUUCGAGGUAAUUGAAUUAUAAAGUCUACUACGUAAACUUAUGCUAGCAAAGCGGUAGCAAAUGAAUCUAUUUAAAGUGUGCAAAGAUAAUCUAUAGGAAAAACUAAAAUCAUGUAUAGGUUACUACAAUUAUUAAUUAUUGUAUCAAACAGCACAUGUGCUAUGAACGUGCUGAAUGGACAACAUCAUUUUCAAGGUAUCUAUUUGGCUGUGUCAGCCGCCAAUGCACACCUCAAAAAUAAGUUAUAUAUGAACCACUAGUAUUCACGCAACAGACUAAGUCGUAUAGUUUGAAUAUGAUAAAAAAAUAUUUUUCUGAUAUUAAAUUAUAAUAAAGAUAUAUUGUUCUCAUACAAUUAUACGAGUGGUUAAAAUAACAAAGAUGAUAAUCAUGGAAAUAUUUUUAGCCAUUGCAUUGAAGUAAAAAAAUGAACAUAUUUUUUCAAAUCAACCUAAAAUGCUACAUGUUACACAGUAUAUUGAUAUAAUUCAUGCACACAUAAUUACAAUAUUAUUCUCAUUCAUGAUAUGUAAAUACACUUUUAAAAAGUUGAAUAAAGCUCAUUUUGUUGUAUAACUUUAUAAAGGAUAAUUUUUUAUUUCAUAAGUUUUAACUAAUAUUGUUCCAUCGUGGUGCAUGUCAAUAUGGGAACAAUAUUCUCCACAUUUCUAAUUAAUUGUACCAAAGGUCAUGUGAAAAAUUUAUAGUUUAAUUAAUGUUCAUCAGAGUUCUCUCACACUCCAUUAGUGUGUAGCAUAUGUUUCAAAGUUGUAUGAUGACUUAAAAAAAAUGGAUAAAGGGCAUAAAUAAAAAAAGGAGGAUAACAUGCAUAUAGCAAUCCUAGGCGGCAGGGAGGAGUGAUUUUAGGAUUCCAUGCAAUGAUUUUGGUACAAACCCGAGUUGCUUCACUUUUUUUGGCUCAAAUUUACCUUAUUGGGACAAACUUGAGUAUACAUGUAUUACACAUAUGAAGAUAAUAUAUUAGAAGAUCACGUGUAAUUUCAUCUUAUAUACCACGCUUGAGGUUAGACUCUUACUCUUCUGGAGUGACAGCCCCCUUCAUUGACAAUACCCUCUUUCAUAGACAUAAAGUUGAAACCCGAUCUUUCACAUAAUAUAUCUUUUGAUCAUCUUGCAUAUAUAUUUCACAUCUUACUAAUUACAUUCGUACUUAUAAUUUACUUCUCUCCUUAUCUGCUCAAAAUAUUUACCUCUACUUCAUCCAAUCGGAAAAAUAAGUCCAUUAGUACAUCGACAAGGUCUACAAGAUAGGCCCUUUGGCUAGCAAUAAGGCCCUAUUUGGAUGGGCUAGAAGUAAUUUUUAGCUAGGAUUAAAAAUUAGCUAGCUAAAAGGUGGAUAGCUAAAAAUUAGUUUAGUCCAAACUGUUUGGAUACAUGGACUAAAUAUUAGCUAGGUACUCCCUCCAUUCUCUUUUGAUAGGCAUAUUGCUAAAAUUCAUAUUUUCCCAAAUGAUAGUCCUAUUUGCCAACAAUGUGGGUGCAGCAAUAAAUUGCAUCAACAACAAGAGUCAUCGCAACAACUAUUGGAGGAUUGUAAUGAAAAAAGCUUGUUUGUAGGACUGUAAUGAAAAAAAGUUUGUUUGUAUUAAUUAUACGAUAAGUAGAGUUGUUUUUGUAACGACCCAACCCAAGAAAAUGGCUCAUGCCCACUCUACACGCUCAGUGGACCACACCUACACUGCAACCUGCUUACGCUUUCAUCCUCACUUCGCGUAAAAGGGUUAACCCGAGGUUGUAAUGCUUCCUAGAGCUAGCUAUUUAAGUUGGCUCAUCUCACUCUCCACUUCCCAUUUGGGACUAUUCUAGAGCUACCAUGCCUCAUGCAUGGCACUCAAAUUGUUUGGCUCAACUUGACCCAUGGGUUGUUACAGUUUUUCUUGGUCAUUGUGUCAGAUGAAAUAUCCCUAUCAAAAUUGAAUAGAGGGAGUACAAAGCAAAGACCAUCGUCCAUCGUGCCCCUCCUUUUGGAAUGAGAGUUGGAGGUGGGGGUGUUUGUGUCUUUUCCCAUCCAUUGCCUGCUUUUAGAUGCUUUUAGCUACUUUUAGUUGCAUUAUAAGGGCUAAUGGACUAAUUUGUAGUUAGGUUAUAGCUAAUUUUUAGUCUACCUUUCUGUUUGGAGCGCCUAGAGCUAAUUUUAGCCAGCUUAUUUGGGGUCUCAAAAAACAGGCCCUAAGAGCAACUCCAAGAGACUGCUAAUCUUACCCCUAAUACUUUUUUUAGGAAAAAAGAGAGAAAAAAUGAACUCCAACAAUCCACCUAAACCUUCCCCAAUUUUUUAGCGACGCUAAAAAACAGCCUGCCACCGUGUAUAUUUUAGCGUUGGCGUUCCUCCCCCAAUCCUGAUUCCCGCACGCCCGCGCGUCCCUUCCGAUGGGCCCAAUAUGAUGACGUGGCCUGUGUUUGAAAUAUUGGGGGCUAUUUAUUAGCGAUCUGCUGUGGACUGAUAUGUUUUUGGGGGAAAUUUUUUUUAGGAGAAUCCCUAAUACAUAGUUUUGGGGAAGAAUUUUUUAGGCUACUCUUGGAGUUGCUCUAAGAGCAACUCUAAGAGGUUGUUAAUCUUACCCCCAAUACUUUUUUUAAGAAAAAAGAGAGAAAAAAUAAACUCCAACAAUCCACCUAAACCUUCCCCAAUUUUUUAGCGACGCUAAAAAACAGCCUGCCACCGCGUAUAUUUUAGCGUUGGCGUUUCUCCCCCAAUCCUGAUUCUCACACGCCCGCGCGUCCCUUCCGAUGGGUCCAAUACGAUGACGUGGCCUGUGUUUGAAGUAUUGGGGGCUAUUUAUUAGCGAUCUGCUGUGGACUGAUAUGUUUUUGGGGGAAAUUUUUUUGGGAGAACUCCCAAUACAUAGUUUUGGGGAAGAAUUUUUUAGGAUACUCUUGGAGUUGCUCUAAGUAAUCCAAUACAAGCUAGAUGGCCCUUCGGCUAGCAAUAAGGAUACAUUAUCCUAAAUGGAAGGAGUUAUAUAUAUAAUUAUUCUAAUAAUGAAUCUAGUAACUUAUAAUCUUAUGUCGUCCGUCUAAACAAAGUUUUAUAUAUUCUUGAUUAAAGUGAGAAACAUGUGACUUAGAAUAAAUAAUCUAAAUAUACUUAUAUUUUCGAUCGAGAAAGUAAUAUGUAUCUCCUAACUACUUUCCUUUUUAGCGGAUGUGGGUAGGAUAGUUCACAAGUUUAAGGCCUGAUUUGGUUCGGUUGCUUAUUUUUAAGCAACCGUCACAUCAAAUGUUUAGAUACUAAUUAGGAGUAUUAAACGUAGACUAUUUACAAAAUCCAUUACAUAAGCGGAGGCUAAACGGCGAGAUGAAUCUAUUAAGCCUAAUUAGUCCAUGAUUUGACAAUAUGUUGCUAUAGUAAACAUUUGCUAAUGAUGGAUUAAUUAGGCUUAAUAGGUUCGUCUCGCCGUUUAGCCUCCACUUAUGUAAUAGGUUUUGUAAAUAGCCUAUGUUUAAUACUCCUAAUUAGUAUGUAAACAUUUGAUGUGACACUUGCUAAAAAUAAGUAAAGGGAACCAAACGCAUCCUAACCCAUGACAUGAGAGCUUAGCAUCAAAUCAAUCUCGUCUUCCUUACCAGAGCUUAAGGCCUGGCGUCACAGCACGGCAAGAUGCCACGGUCACCUGUACUGCUGUACCCGUAAAAAAUGGAAAUCAGAAUUAGGUAAACACCGACGGUGCUGAUGUGGGCGUACGAAUCACGAGGCAGGAGGGAGGGCUGUAGUAGUGUUACGGGGCCUGGCGGACACUGUUGUAGUGUUGUGCCUUAGAAACCAUUUUUUCCGAGCAUGGGUUUGCAGAUACGCGGUCACCGUGGAAUUCUCGGGCCGGUCGAGAGAGAGAGGCCGUACCAGUACGUUUUUACAACCGAGUCCAGCUGCGCCCCCCACCCAGUUGUCAGCAUCAACCGCAGCAGAUCCCGGCCAAAUCCGCACAAAAAACACGUUUCAACCUUUUUGGUCCUGCGGUGCCCAGCUGUGUACCUCUCGCCGCCGCGGCCACGGGCCACGGCUAAGCAACCCGGUCGACCAGACCAGGUGAGAGCAGCGAAUUGUCCGCCCAGAAGAGAAAACAAAAGCAAAGCAAAAACAGCCAGAGAACUUUUUCGCUUCUCUCUCCACCUCUCCCCUUUAUUCUCUCUCAUCCCCCCCCCCCCCCCCCCCCCCCCCCCCCGCGCGCUCUAUCUGGCAUUUCAUUUCGAAGAUGUCUAUCUCGGUCUCUCCAUCUCCGGCUAUAUAAGAUCGGAGGAGCAAGGCAUACCGCAAGCUCAGCUCAGCUCUCUCACUCCACAUAGAACUCGAGGUUUAUCCGUCACAGUACGUCCUCUGGCCAUUAUUAUUCCUUCUUGUGUUCUAGCUCGAUCGUGUUCUUAUCGGCACAGCACGCGUCCAUACCUCACCCUCGCGCGCCACAUAACCCACGAGUGGUCAUCGUCGCCGUCGUCCUUGUCGUCGCUCUGGCAUUCCCAUGAUCCCAUCUCGUGCCCUGUCCCGUUUAAUCCCCUCCUCGCAUCGCGGGAUCGAGAUCGUCCGUAGACCCGGUCCCCUCGUGUGUUUCCCCACUUGUUCCCGCGCGCGAAACGCAUAUGGCUGCAGUCAGCUCGUUUCUAACUGUAGCUAGCUACCUAUAUAUCCACAGCUGCUACUGAUCGAGUUACUCCUCGCUCUCGUUUCGCACUGUAGCUACAUAUCGUCAGCAUUUGGUCGGUCGUUAAUUCCUUCGUCGUCACUGUUGCACAGGCCGCGCGGCGCUCCGGGGGUUUACAGAUGGCGGACUGCAUGCAGGAGUGGCCGGAGCCCGUCGUCCGCGUGCAGGCGCUCGCCGAGAGCGGCCUGUCCGCCAUCCCGCGCUGCUAUGUCAAGCCGCCGUGCGACCGCCCCGUGGCGCCGCCGCCGGCCGCAGCCCUGGAAAAGGAGCAUUUUUUGGACGACGUCAGCAUUCCGGUGAUCGACCUCGGCGAGCUGCUGGCGGCGGAAGGCGGCGGCGCCGGCCUCGGCGACGUCACCGAGGCCGUCGCGGCCGCCUGCAGGGAGUGGGGGUUCUUCCAGGUCGUCAACCACGGGGUGCGCCCCGAGCUGAUGCGCGCGGUGCGGGAGGCAUGGCGCGGCUUCUUCCGCCGCCCGCUCGCGGAGAAGCAGCGCUACGGCAACUCGCCGCGCACGUACGAGGGCUACGGCAGCCGGCUGGGGGUCCAGAAGGGCGCCGUCCUGGACUGGGGCGACUACUUCUUCCUCCACCUCGCGCCGGAGGCGGCCAAGAGCCCGGCCAAGUUCUGGCCGGCCAACCCCGGCAACUGCAAGUAUGUGUUUUCUCCGCAUUUUCAAACUCAUUUUUCUGGAUCCUAAGCUGCUGCUAGCGUUAUAGCUCACCCAUGUGCAUUUAGCUGCGAUCGAUAUUAUGGUGCACAUGAGUCAUUCAUCUCUAGGUUCUAGGUAACACGAACCUCCCGCUUGGAACACAUGAAAUAAGUUCUGGUUUCAAACAAGAGUUGAACCUAAAUCAUUUUUUUUUUACUUCGGAAGAGUAGGUUUGGUUGAAGUAUGCAACGUCGGAGAUUUAACUUUUCUUCUUUUUGAGCAUGUUAUAUGGGUCGAAUUGAACUCCAAAAUUUUAGGAGUCGCAGUAGUUCUAGUUCAUAUGAUUGAGUACUUGAUUAGUCCAAAUUUUCAAUCGUCUAGAUAGAAAAAUUCAUGAUGAUGACAAGAACACACAAUUUAUUUUUUUUUCUAUAGAAAGACAUUAUCCAUAUGUCCUGUGUAUCCUUCUAGACCUAGUUAUAAUUAAGUUUGUUAGAGCUGACCUUUUUUAGUUUAAUGUUCACAAUAUGCUUCUUAUUUGUAUUGUAAAAAGGGAGCACGUGGUGCAGGAAAGUGAAAUCCCCGGAAAAUCGUAUUAAACAACGAUUUUGAAUGACAUACUGAGAAAAUUACACAACUGAACUUAACUUUGCUAUCCUUCAUAUAUAAAACAUAUAUGUAUGUUGAAUUAGGUUUGGGCACGUUUUACCUUUGAACAGUGCAGUGAUUGUUCUGAAAUAAAUUAACGUAACUGUCCCUGCCCAUGCCGUACUUCUCCGGCCAUUACAGCUCGUUCCCUAGUCGUUGUGGAGCCUAAAACGUAGCAUAAAACUAUAAGAUAUGAUAACACUUACGCCAUAGAAAUUAAAUAACUUACAUCUUCGUGACUCAGCACCCGGAAUACAGCACGUGCAUGAAACGGAAAGUAGGCCGAUGGUGCUUUCAUGCAAAAUGUCUAGAGCCAGAGAGGGAAUACAAGUCCAAGCCUAUAUGGUAGCGCAGCACGGACGUGCUCAUGCUAAAAUCAGAAGAGGGGUGUCCCUGUCGUAGUAGUAUAGUAGGCCAUGCGUCCAUACCAAUUAUGUACCGACCUCGAUAACUGCAGUAAAAACAGGCCACCAAGCACGUCUCGCAAAAACUGCACCAUACUGUUGCGUACUGAUCAUCAUAUAUGCAUGUGAAAACACAGGCUCAUGUACGUAUUGAUGUAAGUAUGUAUAUAUAUUAUAUAUAUAAAUAAUGCAGGGAGGUGUCGGAGGAGUACGGGCGCGAGGUGGUGCGGCUGUGCGAGCUGCUGAUGCGGGUGCUGUCCGUGAGCCUGGGGCUGGACGAGGCGCACUUCCAGCGGGCGUUCGGCGGGGCGGCGUGCGGCGCGACCCUGCGCGCCAACUACUACCCGCGGUGCCCGCAGCCGGACCUGACGCUGGGCCUCUCCGCGCACUCGGACCCCGGCGUCCUCACCGUGCUCCUCGCCGACGAGCACGUCCGCGGCCUGCAGGUCCGCCGCGGCGCCGGCCAGUGGGUCACGUUGCAGCCCGUCCGCGACGCCUUCAUCGUCAACGUCGGCGACCAAGUCCAGGUACUAUACGUAUAAUAACCGCCAAUAUCCGCUGUACAUCGUCCUAGCUAGAAAGCUACAGUACCUAGGGCGGUGCACACGCACGCAUGCACCUGCUGCCCGUUGGCCUAUUAAUAAGCUAUCUCUAUCUCCCUACUAUAGCGUGCGCGCGCGUCGACGUCCGGCUUCUAGAAAAGCUCAAUAACAGCACUUCUUGUCGAGUAGCUAGCUCUAGAGCUAGGUAGCUAGUCGAUGACGAAGAUCGUGACCGUGCGACUCGUGACUGUCACGUAUACCUACUACCUGGCUACCUGUUGUACACAAACGUGAGGUAUUUGGUCUUGUCGGUACACGCGUGCACGUACAGCUAGCUAUAUAUCUCCGGCGCCGGUCGUCGCCUUGGUUGAAACUUAAGAACUGGCAAAUAGUAAUUAAUUAAAGAGAAAAACGAUCCGAUGGAUCUUAUCUGCAUAUGUGUAUGUCAGCAACAGCAUUCAUUCUGCUCUAAGAAAACCUAUAUUAAUUCCAGCAGUUGACUUCCAACCGAUACAGUACAUGCUAGAUAUAUAUGAUCGUUGGCUUCGAUUCCUGCGGCGAUCGAUCUUUCUCGCUACCUGGACGGUGGACGACGACGCCAUGAGAACACAUGCAUGGGGCGGUGAUCUAGCGAAAUCUUGUCGUGCUGAUGAACGAAGCAGCUAGGCGCUAGCUACCUUGGAUAGGCAUGCAUGCAUGUUACAGCGGCGACCGACGAAUCGCGCCACCCGAAAGCACAUGCACCGGCGGAGGGCCAGUUCAUCGGUCAUCAACGAUCAUCCCGUGCACUGGCCGGUAGAUAGCCCUCUAGAGAUAUUUCCACUUGUACUAACUUCAACUUCCUCCCAUUUGAAACAAAUGCUACUGUUUAAUUAUGUACUCCCUCCAUUCCAAAUUAUAGCUCGUUUUAAUUUUUUUCCAUAGAUAUACCCUAUAUCUAGAUGCUAAUAAUAUCUAUGCAUCUAAAAAAAUCAAAACGAUCUACAAUUUGAAAGGAGGGAGUACUGAUAAAAAAAAUACUUCAGCUUUCCCUAACUUUUGGAUACGAAUCGAACGCUGAUAAACCUUGAAUCUGUUCGCAGAUACUGAGCAACUCGACGUACAAGAGCGUGGAGCACCGGGUGAUCGUCAACGCCAAGCAGGAGCGCAUCUCCCUCGCGCUCUUCUUCAACCCCAAGGGCAACAUCCCCAUCUCCCCGGCGCCGGAGCUGGUCACGGCCGCCGACGGGCCGCCGCUCUACCCGCCGAUGACCUUCGACGAGUACAGGCUCUUCAUCAGGAAGAAGGGCGCCAAGGGCAAGGCGCAGAUCGAGGCUCUCAAGGGCCAGGCCCCGCCCGAAAACUAGGUCGGCUAGCUAGUAGCUGCGUUACUACUCCAGUUAUUAAAAAUAAGCAACAGCAUGUAUGUAUGGCAACUAUUAAUCCGGAGUUAGUUUGGCUGUCAGCUGCCUCGAGCUCCCCCAUGUAUAUUCUGAUUGUAAUAAAGCAUGUGCAAGACCGAUCUACGGCUAUUCUACCUUUGUACCAGCCACUUAUUUCUACUGUAUAAUCGUAUGCGUGCUGCAUGCAGUAGCUGUGCAGUCGAUUGCUGCUCACUGUUUGUACACGUACGACGAAUCAUAUUUAAGCAAUAUAUAGUUGCAUAUAUACUUACUAGAGUAAAAUAUACGAGGGAUUCCAGUGUCAUCUAAAUCUCUAAAUCUCUAAAUUUUUAACAUGCAUUUUCAGGUCCAUGAACUUGUCUCAGGAUAACAUCCGGAUCCCUAACUCUCAAAACAUAUUUACAUGCCCCACAACUUAUCUCAAGUUUGAGGAACUGAAAAUACAUUUUGAGAGUUUAAGUUCAGGAACCCCGAGGUAUUUUACUCUCCUUACUACUUUAUUACUCCUUCUGUUCUGAUUUACAUGAUGCUAGUUAGCUCAAAUUUGAGCUAAACAACGUCAAAUAAAAAAGAAUGGAGGGAGCAUAUGAAUGUGGUUUGGCAGAGCAUCAUGUUCAUUAUUCGAUUAUUGUACAGUGACCAGUUUAUAUUACGUGCAUUUGGACUCGGCCGGUGCACAUAGAUCGUAGGAUAUAUGGAUGCCUUCAUGCAUAUUUACAAAUUAAAUAUGCUAGCUGAACUCGAUCUAUCCAAAUCUUUUGAUGCGAGGCUCAGGAUAUAUGCUGCCUCACGAACUGAUCCGGCGGAACACACGUCAUGUCCAUAAACGGAUGAAGCCCCUGCAUUUGGAAUAACAUUUCGGUACUAAUAGCUGGGAGCAUAUAUUCCGUCUCAGCUGCCACUUUGAGAUAUGCAGUGCUCCUGACUUCCUCUAUAUGGCUAAUCCUAUUGCAUUGUACUACCACAGGAGUUGCAUGUUAAAGCUAAACUAGGCCGGCCUAGGCUAGUAGUAGUACAUAUCUUCACAUGAGUUGCAGCACGUUUCGACAAAUGGAGGAAUCGUCGGGACGUAUGCUGCUGGCGGUGAAUGAGUGCCAGUCGAUUAAAGUCGUUGCAUUGCGCCAUUGCCCACACACGGAGGAAUGGAUAUGAUGAUUCCCGGUGAGUGACAAUGGAGGAGAAUACUUUGGAUCGGAGCUGGGCUGAUGACUGAUAAGGCAUGGACAACACACAGUGAGGUGGACUCUGGAAAGCCGCUAAAGCUGGGUUAGGCAAUAGCUCCACGUCGGCGCAUGCAACAGCUCAAGAGAAGAGCACGCACCGGCCCGGCCGACCGGCGACCGGCCAAAAGAGCAUUCGCUUUUCACGGACUGCGGAUGCUAGGGCUCGCUCCUCCCUACAGGUCCUACUACUAGUAGUUGGCUCGAGCAGUCAGCCAUCAGCGGCAAUUCCACAUGUGCGUUUUUGACUCGAAAACCACUAGCACCGUGCACGCUGCUGCUGGUGACUGCCCACCUCCACUAGCCUGCAGCUCUCAGAUACGCUGCCUACUGUCACUCAUGCCCCCAAUGCAACCAGCUCCAUAAAGUGGAAAUGAAAUAUGCAUGCCUCCAUGUAUACCCAAACCAGAUGCGAGCUCAAGUGGGAAAAAAAAAACACGGAUCGCCGUUGGCCCCCAGAAACAUCGUCGAUUUGUGUUGUGCGGAGUGCGCCCCCCGCCCUGCCACUUGAGCACACCUGAGAUCACGCAGCUCCAUGUCGUCGUCGCCGGCCGCAGAGUUGGAUCUACGUGCGCGGUGGCUGUGAAGGAAAACGGGGGUAGAUUAAGGGUGCUUUUGAUUGUGCUUCUGAACCUGCUUUUACUUUUGCAAAAGCUAAAAGUCAAUCAAAAGGUCAAAAAGUUACAUGUACUUUUGUCCAAAAGCUACUUUUGCUCUAGUAAGCAAAUUCCUCCUGCUUUCAAAUCCUUUUGGGGUAAAAAAUUAUCCACCUGCCACUGGUUAUGGAGUACCGUUUCGUUUACUCCUGGAUCUAUUUCUCUCCUGCACGUGAAGGAACCGUUUGCUCCUCCCCCGCCCUCCCCCGCAUAGGCACCAUUCGCCUCCUCCAGCCAUCCCAACCGUCCGCCGCCUGCCGCCCUCGGACGCCCGCCUGCCGCACCUCGCCCCCGGACGCCACACCCCGCCGCCCACUGCCGGACGCCGCCCAUCGCACCCCGCCCGCCGCCGAGCGUAGGCUCCACCGUGGGUGAGAGCUCCACCGCCGCCGCGGGCAUGGGCUCCGCCGUGGGGUGGACUGGCCAGCGGGAGUAAGAAGAAGGGGUUGACGAGCGGGUCCCGCUCGUCAUAGAGAGAGGGAGAGAGUUGAGUGAGGUGGACUGUGGAUGACAUGUAGGGUCCAUUCGACAGUUUAUUCAAAAGCCACAGCUGUUCUAACCAAACGGCCUUCUGAUUUUCCCAUAGCUGCUUUCUCACAACUGUUUUUCCACAACACACAGCUCACAGCAGCUUUUCUAAAAACCACAACGCAACUAAACACACCCUAAGUAUGCGCGCGACCUGCGCCUGCACGUGGGCAACAGCAGCAGAAACACUCCUGUGUGGCUGUGUCAUUGUGUGUGAGCCCAGCGUUUGACCAUAACCCCCGGCGCCGGCGGAGGAAACCGACCGCCGACCCUCCGGACGGUGCCGUGCUGCGUCAUCGCGCACGCAAGCAAUGCGCCCAAGCGCACGGCACCGUGCGGUGCGAGGAGAUCGUGGCGCUUUCUUAUCACCAAAUUCACCAUGAUGGCUGCGGCCUGCGGCGAUCAUUAGUUUAUCGAUGGUCAGCUCCUGAUGAUUAAACUCUCUGUUUUCCGUCUGGCCAACGCAUAGGAAAUUCCGGGACGAUCCGGCCGAAAAAAUUCUUGUUUAUAACUGCGUACCUUUUGUUAAAAUAAAAGAUGACAUGUCGGUUCGUUUCAUCAAAUUUUCAACGGGGAAAAAUUAUUGUAGUUAGGUUCGUUUUCAACGAAGGAAAAGAAGGGCAUCUUUCUUUCUUUUUUAAGCACCGAAGUGCUGGCCAUGUAACACUUCAUCAGACAGCACUCUUUCGUGGGAGAAUUCAAAUUGCCUUUUGCAAGCGUGAGGUUCGAAUUGUUUUAUUAAGAGCACAUUUGGUUGCUAUUCUUAUUUAGCUCCAAAUAAUCAUUUAAGGCCUUUUUUUUGCAACAAAAGAAGAAGCUUAGUUGAUGGACAGUGAUAAUCCAACUCGAUCAAAUCACCGAUACUUAUAUUAGUCUUUGUAUUUCUGCUAGUGGAUCAUUGUUUUUAGAAAACUGGAAUGUUUCAUUGCCAUUCUUUAUUUGGAAGCCACGGCAUUACAGGAAUGAAAAACUAUGGAUACUAGCUACCUGACAAAGAUAAGAACUAAUGAACUAUACUGAAUCUGACAGUCAUACUUUUUCUGAUGUUUUUAGUAUAAUCUGGCGCCAAGUCUCUUUCGUUUGAAAUAGUUAAUGGACGGAAAACUGAGCAUUCAUCCUCAGCCGUUGAUUUUUAACCCGGUACUAAUGUGAGCAUUAGUACCACAUUAGUACCGGAUCUAACAGCUAGUCAACAAGGAGCCUCCCUGACCCCCUUAGUAUCGGCUGGAGGCUUCACCCGGUACUAAAAGUUACCGAUUAGUAUUCCAAUCGAUACUAAUAUUCCUGAAGAACUUUAGUACCAAGUGAAGCCUCCACCCGGUACUAAAAGCUCUCUCCGACUCCUCUUUCUCACUUAUCUCCGCACCUACUCGGUCUUAUCCUUUAUCUCCCUAACCACCACCCAUCUUAUCUCCCUACCGCCUAUUAUCUCUCCUCCCUCCACACAACCUCCUCUCUCCUCCCUCCUCUCCCACUACCGCAGGCGCGCGGGGCCAAUUAAUUCUUUCUAUGAUUCUUGUAAAACGUGUGACAAUGAUUCUUGUGAAAUGUAUUCUUGUGAUUCGUGCUGUGAUUCUUGUGAAUUCUGUGAUUGUGAUUAUUACUAUGAUUAAUGUGAUUAUGAAUUUUUUUGUUAUUCUUGCGAAAUUCGUGUGCGCGUAAGGAAUUUGUGAUUGUGAUUCUUGGAGAAGUAGACGCUUGUGAUUCUUGGAGAAGCAGGUGCUUUUGGAAGCUGGAGCAGUGAUAUAAACAACCGGUACUAAGGGGUGCCUUUAGUACCGGUAAGGUCCCCUUUAGUACCGAAAUAGCAAUACUAGUUGCACAAUCGGUACUAAAGGAGGAUUUGAACCCGGUACUGAAGGCACAUUCCCUAGCAGUGGUGCUGGCAUUGACCUUUGAACUAUACUAUAUGGUUAAUUGGUUCCGGUAGUCAUUUCUUAAGAACUUAAAUAUAUAUUGAUUGCAAUUGCUAUGAUCAUCCAACGGCUGAGCUCCAAGUUUGAGAAGAGGUUCUUUCGAGGGGAAAGUAGUAGUACACAUGUUUGGGGGGGGGGGGGGGGGGGGGGGAGGGAGGCUAUUGGGCUUCGGUUGUGAGAUGUUAACGCGCAAACAAAAAUUAAAGAAAAGCACAAAGACAAUUAGUCCAUUUUCUCUCAACCUUAUUGAUUCAUGCUGUAUACAAUUUGGGAACCCCUCAUGUAUAAUUAUUGUUGGAAGGUGGAGAAGCCUCUAUUACAUUUUGAUUUUGAUCUUGGAAAAUAAUCUCCCUCCCAGUCUUCCUACGUGGGCUGCUUCUUAUUCAUGAGCGGAACCUUCAUGGGCCUAAAGGCCCUUUUAGGCCUAUGGGCCAUAAGAUCGCAACAGCUGUUUCUCUCUCUUUGCGCUCUUGUUGGCUUGUUGCUGUGGUGGUAUACUGGUAUGUUGGCAUUUAGGCAUGUCUGGAGUCUGGAACACCUCACGUUAUACAUUGAUGUGGGUCAAGCAUACUACUAGUAAUCCUAAUACACAUACGGAGUAAUGCCUGAAAUUGUGUAUGCAAUUUGGAAACUGGGCCAAGUCCGGCCCAAAACGUGGUUGACGGUUUUCUCAAAAGCAGUGUGGGACUGCGCACGGUAAAACACCGAGGACAUAGUUCCAUCUGGACAGACAGGACACACGAGAAAGCUCUCGAACCGUUCCCGUCUCACUGCAUUAGAGAAGAGACGAGCAGAAGGCGGCUUAGUGUCCCGGCAUCGAUCCGGCCGAUUCCUCCCCUCCCGGCGUCUUCCAUGACACACAGGAGGGGAGGGAUCCAGCUCGGCUCCGUCCGCUGGUGUAGAUUAUCUACUAGGUUUGUGUUUUUUCUUUGUUUCCUAGCUGUGUUAGGGUUAGGUUUAUCCGGUGGCCAAGGAGCAACGACCACCGGAUUCAUGUCACUCCGGGCGAUUUCCGGCGGUGGCAGCUUUAGUUGCUGCAACUCCGGCGCAUCAUCUCACAGAUCAUCUCCUGUGAGGUAUGUCUUCCACCACUCUUGAGGAAUCGGGCUGGUGUUUGGGUCAUGCUCCCUCGCCGGUGUGCUUCGUGGCGUUGGUUUCGGCACUGAUGCUGCAGCAUAAGGCGUUAGUUCUCUCGUUGUCCGGCGAGGUAACGGUCGGCGACCGUUUUGUGAAGUCUUCCGUUGGGCGCUAGAAAUCGGCUGACGGAAUCUCUAGCGUCGGACACACGACUCGGGAGAAUCUACUAACUCCUGUUCGGGUGAUCGUCAUGGUGCGGUUCACGCGGCGUGCCAGCCAAUCUGACCUGUUGAUUGGCAAGGAAAAAAACGUGUUAGAUCCCAGAGGUCGCGAUCGGCUAAGGUUCCGAUCUUGAGAAAGCUUAUCAGCGAAUCGGCCGAUUUGCUGUAAUAACGAAAUCGGCUAUAAUGCAGCCGAUUGCUAGGCAAUGUCGAUAAAAACUACUAGAGUAAUCUAAACAACGCUACAGUAACAACACUAGGAAUAGAUCUGAAUCGGCUAUGCGGAGGGUAAUAAAUUAAGUAACAAAAUAUGAGAAAGCCGAAAGUUCCAAUUCCAAGCUGGAUAACUGGUGAUAAAACUAGAACAACAGGUAAAACAUAGAAUUCUAGUUAAUAUCGAUAACUAGUGAAUAAAUCCAAACGAAACGACAGCGAUGCGCUCGAAGUUAAAGCUUAGAUAUUACUCGAUAAGUGGAACUUACAGAAUCGGCCGGAGGUCAAGUUGAUGCAGCCCCGCCAACCCGUACGAACUCGUAAAAAGAAGAAAAGUAUUGACGAAGUCGCUGCUCGAAAGUAAGUGCAAGGAAAUAGUAUUUUGUUGUAUUGAUUUGAUUGAUGAUUACAGAUCUAAGAAGGCGGCUAUUUAUAGCCUGUUACAACCAAUCUCUUAACCGACUAGGACUUUAUCUCUAAUUUUAAACGAAAAUAAAUAUUUACAAGUAUGAUUCGUAUCGGAAUUGAUCAUUGCGCUCCCAUGGGCCGAUCUCCCCUUUAUCUUCAUAGUUCAUUUUAAGCCUAUAUUGACCCAAUUGCUCCAGCCUCCCAAUCGGCCGAUUUUCACCAAAUCCAUCCGUCGAAAUACCGCAGCACCAAUCGGCCGAUCCUCAAUUGUAGCACCAAUCAGCCGAUUCCUAAUCAUGACGUCCGUAUUUUGCCGCAUUUCCUGAUUCCUUCCCUCCUUGACGUCGAUUUCAUACGUGUCAAAAUCUGGCGUCAACAGCUUCAUUCAACGAUAUCAAGACUUGUUAAAGCAUUUGAUGGGUUGUCUCUUGUGGCGCAAAAAAAAAUGAUACUUCCUCGUUAUUUGAGGGAACGGCCUCGAGCCCCAUCUUCAGUGUGUUAGUGUUUGGAUACCCCGUGCUAAAUUUUAGCACGUGUCACAUCGGAGGUUCGGAUACUAAUUAGGAGGACUAAACAUAGUUUAAUUACAAAACUAAUUGCACCGAUGGGGUCUAAUUUGUGAGACGAAUCUAUUAAGGCUAAUUAAUCCAUCAUUAGCAAAUGGUUACUGUAGCACCACAUUGUUAAAUCAUGGACUAAUUAGGCUUAAUAGAUUCGUCUCACGAAUUAGACUCCAUCUGUGCAAUUAGUUUUAUAAUUAAACUAUAUUUAAUACUCUUAAUUAGUAUCAAACAUCCGAUGUGACAGGUGCUAAAAUUUAGCUCAGGUAUCCAAACACCCACCCCCUUCGUCCAUGUCCAACUCCGACGAGACGAUGCCAUGUCCGGCUGUUUGAUCAGAGUUCCAGAAGGACCCGAUCAGGCAUUCCGGGCUUCAUUUGUAAUCGGUGGUUUGUAAACUUCAUGUUAUAUCAAUAAAAUGCCAAUCUAAUGUCCUUAAAAAAAAAGUUCCAUCUGGACACACUCCUCAUCAGUCUGACCUAUCUCCUAACAAAAUGUAGGGAGGACCCCAUCUGCUGCUCGAAAUGCACCAUACACGCUUCUCUCCGUACAAACAUUGUGAUUGUGACACUGUGCUAUCUUCAGAAAGACCAGCACUGCUGUUUUGCAGUGGAAAAUUGCUGUUUAAGUUGGAAACGUCUGACCUUGUGCCCGCUAGUACAAGUGAUGGCUGAAGUCGAGCUUGUUAGAUGAAUUGUGACUGUGUUGGACUCGGAUUGAGUCAUGACACCGGACAGGUUUCUGUCUAGAAGCUAUGGCGCAAGGCAAAGUUUCUGUUAAGAGUCCUAACGUGUUGCACUAGAUGGUUUUGGUCCUGAUAGAGAUAGGUUAGAGAUAAAGAUAAACUAGAGAUAGAUCUAGUUUGAAUCAUAUUCUUGUGAAUCAAGUUGUAACUUAUCUCUAUGCAAUCUUGUUAAGCCUUGGUGCAUAUAUAAUACGGAACUGUGGGAUACGAGUUUGCUAACCACGCUUACCAGAUUGCCUUAUACUUUUACAGAGCUACUGUUCUGUAAAGCAAAGCUAAUUCACGGAAAGGGGUAGAAAAUAUAUAAAUGGCGCCCAUCAAGAUCAUGUAAUCUUGUCCAAGAAAGGACCACUCUGCCCUGCAUCGUCCCACAUUUGUCCUCAAGCCGAAAGUAAUCUCAGGAGAGAAGAGGACUUUAUAACUCUUUUGACUUUACUUAUCUAUUAAAACAAAAGAUAAAUAAAACAAGAAAGUGAAAGUAAUAAACAUAAAACAACAAAAUAAAGAGUAGCAGUACAGGAUAUCAACAUCAGGUGGGAACUGCAAAAGCCCGUGGUGUCGGUGUAACUUACGGUCCAUUUCCUUCGCUUUCUUGGUUCAAUUCUUGUCCUCUGAAAGCAAACCGCCGCCAAAGCGACCGGGCCGUGCAAGGAAAGGAGGACCACACUACCACAGCGUCUCGCGCGACCAUUCCCGCCGUUCCCAAUCCGAUUUCCUUCCGUGCCUCACCGAAUCGAUUGCAGCCGGGCGCGUGCGUGCCGCGACCUCGUGAGCGAGACCGGCCCUUGCUGUUUCCGCGUCGCGUCACGUCUCGCGGAUUUCGACGUCGUUCUCUGGCGCACGCGACCGCCGACGCCUGGAGGCUGGAUCCGCAGAGCCUUGAGCAGUUUGAGCUACAAUGUAGCUGAACAAAAAUGUUUGUCUGCUGAUGAUGCAAUUACUGUUCCUCUUUCUGUUUCAUCAUCGAACUUAUAAGAGUUGAAAUUUGAAAAUGUUUACGAGUUGUUCUCUGUCAGUCGAAAGUUGAGCCGUUGAGGCGAUUCUGCGAGCUGCCGUUUGAGUCCGUCUUUCUCCAACACAAUGCAGCCAUGUAAGGAUAUUGGAACCUAGCUAUAGGAUCUACUAUUGCGUGGUCCAAAAAGAUGCAUCCAGGACCUGAUUGAAUUGGUUCGCAUUUUUCGGAACUCGAGGAUAGAUUCGCUUUUGUCUGCAAAAGGUACUUGGAUCACAAAAAAGCUUCAGGCACUAAAAUUAAGCAAAGUGCCUGAUCACAGUGCUAACAUCCAGUAUUCGCGUAUACUAGAACUUUAGAGCAAAGUUAUCACGUCCUCUUUUCCUCGCUUUUCGCAUUCACUACUGCCGGUACUUAUUCGAGCCUGAAAAUGCGAGCAAUUAGCCCUGGAGUCGCCUAGACUAACGAAUUAGAAUUAAAUGCACUCCUUCAGUCCUCAUCAGCCAUCACCAACCACAGGGGGCAGAUCAUUACCCUUCCGGUGCAUGAUUUUCUCCAUGGUUGAUAUCAUUAUUAUGAUGGGAGUUUCUUUUAAAAAAUUCCCCUAAGCAUGUGAGGUGAGCAGAAGUGAGGUACCUACUCCCUAAUUGUUUCCAUCAAAAUGAAAGGGACCUCUUUCCACAACUACCGCGCCAAUGAAUUAUCGCUUUCUGGUGUCCUGUCUGAGGAUGGUGCGCCUAACACACCCUCCAGAUGGUUAACUGAUGAUCACCCGUGGAUCUUUGUUGAGUGGCAUGUUUUGUAGUCUUAUCAGUGUCCAUUAUCGAUGCGCCUUCAUUGUCUGCAGCUCUUCCUUUUACCUUUUUCCUCUGUCUUCAGUAGCGAAACCAAGUGUAAAUCGGCAGAUCUUAGGUCGUAUUGUAUUGAUCUCUGCUUCUAAUAACUAGCUCGGUUCAACUUCUGUCGAUCACCAGAAGUUAAAAUUGUUGUGGAUAGGGACCAAGGUGGACUUCUUGAACUGAGAAAUCAUACUGGCAGCAUGCCAACUUUACACCUUACACUUGCACAGCCAAUCAUUGCUUCACUUCCCAGCAACAGCAAUGGGAAUGUAUGGUACGUGUCCGGGCGUCAUUAGGUGGACUUGUCAGCAUCAGUGACGAAGGUGCUUUCUCGAAAAGUUUCCCAUAGCAAUUCCCGGCAAGCGGCGAGGGGCCUCGUUUUCACAUGGCACUAAUGCGUACUUUCUUGCCUGAAGUUGCUGUUGUGUAGUUGUACACAGCUACACACAAGUCCAACCACAGCCCAUCCCAUCGAAUGUUUAGUACUUACUCUUAUGGAUCGCGCAGCUGCUAAUGACGGCACCAGGUGAUCGGAUUUGCACUGAAAGAAAAGCAGGGGAAUAAAAAUGCGGACUCAGUAGUGCUCCCUCCAACACCGUACUUGAAAUACAAUGAAGAUAUACAGCACGCAUCACGUGGUAAAAAGCAGCAGGUGGUGUUUCUCCGCUCAAAGUUUGCUUUACGUUUCAGAAGUAAGUUUACUGGGGGAGGUACAGAGUGCUGCUACUAUCGUCACAAUGACUGCAGCUUGAUAAAAGCAUCAGCACUCAACAGAAAGUUCCUCGGAGAUUUGGUUUGCGGGCAAGUCAAAGAUGGAGUGGAGAGUGGCCAUAGUGGUUCCCCUAAUCAAAGACCGUCUGGAAGUAGCACAAGCAUGGCGACACUCACAGACUCACUGCUACUGCUACGGAACACUACUAGGUUAAAAACAAAACUAAUAGAGUGUCUAGUUUCACGGACCAAAGUUUAAUCUGUGUCACAUCGAAUAUUUAGAUAUUAAUUAGAAGGAAUAAACACGAGUUAAUUAUAAAAUUAAUUGCACAGAUAGAGGCUAAUUCGCGAGAAAAAUCUAUUAAGCCUAAUUAGUUCAUGAUUUGAUAAUUUAAUGCUACAUUAAAUAUGUGCUAAUCAUGAAUUAAUUAGGUUUAAUAGAUUCGUCUAGCCUCCAUAUGUGCAAUUGAUUUUGUAAUUAGUCUAUAUUUAAUAUUCCUAAUUAGUACCUAAACAUUUGAUAUGACAACUUUAAUACGUGAAACAAACACAACUAACUUUCCAUAUGUACUGCCAAGGUUUCUGUGCUCGCAUUUAGUACGGAGCAGUACUCCACCGCUACUAGUCCACUCCACUCGCGGCCUCGCACCAAAGCAAGCAAAUCGUAGCCAGUCCAAAGCAUGAUGGCCAAUCAUCGCCUGGCACCAAAACGGAGAACAGACAAUGCGCUGAAGACCAUGGGUGCCGCAACAUCCCCACGGGCCGCGGCCACCUCGGCGCGUCUCUGGAAUCUGGAUGGAUCCGGGGCGAUUGGCGUGGCGGCCGCCCCCGACCGGCCGAGCCCGCGCGCCGCGGAGCAUUGGUCUCGCCUCGGUCCGGUCCCCUACCAACGCCCGGCAGGCAGGUCACGGGAAAGUGGCGUACUACGUGACCCGGCCACCCGGGCGACGGGGACGGGCGGCCACGGACGUGCGGCGGGUGCGGUGCCGAGCCCGCGCGCUCUCACUCCAGGCCGGGGAGCGGUGAGCCGGUGAGUGCCGGUGCGGUGAGGCCGCCGGUGAAUAAUUUCGCGGGCGGGCACAGUGAAAAGGCCUGAAAAGUUGGGGCAUCUGCGGGGUAAGGGAGCCGCCGUCCCCCGAGCGGUGGGUUUGGGCGCGGGGAGCGGUUAUGGACUCGGCUCGCUUUUCCCUCGUGGCAUUCUGCACCCGACCACCCACCACCGGGGCACCGCGCGAUCGGCGCCGGCGCGGGCAGCGGAAACCGGAAAAGGUGCGCGAGGGAGGGGCUGGGGCCUGGUGGGCGCCUGGACGGACCCGCCGUGUGGUGUCCGGGCGGCACCUCUACGUCGUCAGUUGGCUUUUUCUGCAGGCCCACUGGAACAGGGCCCCUCGUCGCGAGGCAGGGCUCCACGCGGACUCGUCUCGCCUUUUCCCUCGUUGAAAAGUUGAAAAGCAAAAGGAAGGUUAAUUACCCCACCGCGUUCAUAUCGAUGGAUUUGGAAAUUUGUGAUGGCCAUUUGGCAACGCGCCAAAAGAGAAGCACGGCCGCGCAGGGAAAGAUGAAGAUGAAAUUACAGUUUGCUCCUGCAUACUCCUCCCUUCAGAUCGUUUUAGGUUUUUUAAAAUUAUAGAUAUUAUUAUGCAUCUAGAUAUAGAGUAAUAACAAAAAUCUAUAAAUUUAAAAAAGCUAAAAUGAUCUAUAAUUUGAAAUGGAGGAAGUAAUUGUUGAAUUCUAACAAUGACUUCGCAAGGGGUGAGAUCAUACGCAGAUAGAUGUCCGCCGCAUGAUUCGUUGCCAUAUUUGCGGCCAUCUGCAACAAAAUACGAUUUGAAAACACACAUGUCCGACGCGCUGCAGACUCAGUUUGUUCUAACCAAAUAUACCGUAAUUUCCAUAAAAUGAUGACAAAAUUGACCAUCAAGCAGCACAGGUGUUCCGGGGUGACAGAAUCUGAUGGGCUAAACUAUACUGUACUGUCUGUCUAGUGUGUGUCUAGUCUACACAUGGCCAACCGCCGGAUGGAGGGGCUGAGCUGAGCCGCAAUUGCGGCAACCUUUUUAUGCGGACGCGCAGCUGGUGCGAUCCCGUGCGCCUCGCUCGCUACAAACAUCUCUCUCUCUCUUUCCUCUGACUUCUUUGCUCCCCCUCGUCCGUCUCGCCCGGUCCUCUCACUCGAAGACUCCUCUCGCCUCGCUUCGCUUCCAAGCCCCUCCCAAUGGCGACGCAACCGCUUACCUCACCACGGCGCCGGCCGCGCUUGAGUUGAGCGAGGCACCCCACCCCACCAACCGCGCGCGCUCUCCAGGCGCAUGGCGGCGCCGGGGCUGGACCAGGUCAUGGCGUUCCUCACCGACCACGGCUUCGCGGGCGCCGCGUCCGCGCUCCGCGACGACGUCCUCGCGCGCACCGCCGCCGGGGACGACGCCCCCGACGCGGCAUUAGAUCCCCGGCUCCCGCCACUCCGGAUGCCCGGCUCCGCCUCCGCCUCCGGCGGCGGCGCUGGCACGCCGGCGCCCGCGAGCCCCGGCUCCAGCUCCGGCUCGGCGUCCUCAUCCGCGUUCGUCAGCAUGCGCUCCACGCCCUCAGGUACCCCAAGGCACGAGGCACUUUUGUCGCUAGCCUUAAACCCUUCCCUCCUUGAUUUCCGUGGGUGUCUCGCGCAAUCUCGAUCUGUGCGCCGGUAUUUCCGGGGCUGUGGUUGGCUUUGGGCCCAAUUCGGAGGUGAUGGGAGGAUCAACGCAAGUGUGUUUCCGCUCACAUGAAUUUUGUAACACAAUUGAAUCUUCGAUUUCCUAGGAGAGUUGUUAAACCUCUCCGCCACUUCAAUUCCCGUCUCGCCGGUUGGUUGGUUUAGUGAUGCUCUGAAUUUCGGUACAUUUUACCCAGUUUUAAACGGGAAUUUCUUUUAUUGUGGCUAUUAGGGCUGCUGAAUCCAUAUGGGCUAUGGUCGCCGCGGAACUCGCAAUCUGACGCGUCGUCAUCAGAGAUGGAGUUUGGUACUGCGCGCCAGUACGACACCACCGACCUCUUCUUCCAGGAGGGUUGGCUCUACGACGACCACCUCUUCCCUAGCAUGCUGGAUGAUGAGGAUGACGAAGGCAAAGAGGAGGACAAGUUUGUACUCGGUGCUCACGAAGGCUCAGAGCGGGUAGAAAUAGGCAAGCUUGGUGCAGGCCACAAUCACCGUCACGAACACAUCGGUGGUGACCGCUGUGAGGGGUGCGCCGAGGUGUACACAUGCUCAUCGCCACUCUGUGGUUGCUGUGGAGGGGGGCUCAAGAUUGACGGACUGGAGGUGGCCAGGAGCUCAAGCUCCACUGUGUAUGGGAGAUACCAGAUCAUGGAUGACCAGACAGAGAUACUGGAUGAUUGUGCCCAGGGUGGGUUUCAGUUGAAGCAGAGUAGAGAUGUUGUGUUUGAGUGCGAUAUGCUAAGGGACCCUGGACGAGGAGAUGAUGAUUCAGAGCUGAGUGUUGUGGAGAAGGAGCUUCAAAUGCUCAGUUCAUUCGAUACUGAUGCUGUUGCAAGUAAGUACUUCCCAAGCCUUCAACUAGAGUUCAUAUUUUCAACUAGUAGGAUCCCAUUUGUUAGGGGUUUCCGGCUGAACUUUGUUGCCAGUACAGUUUAUAGUUCGUCCAUUUUAACCCACUUUGACCAAAGAUAAUGUCAAUUUUUUUAAAAUUUAAUGUAGGUAGAAAAGGGAAAUAAAUAACAACAAUGAAGAGUUUAGAUAUUGCGAAGUUGUCUUGUGAAAGCCAAAUCUCUGCUGCAAUUUGGUUAAUGUGCUGUUUAAUAAAUGGACAAAAAAUGUUAUACUAGACAUUAUCAGUCCUUUAUGUAAUAUUUGCGGUUCCCCAGUAUUAGUACUAUUUUAUGAUUAUAUGCUUCUCAUGGAUUAUAUCUGGAAAUUUGAGAGAGACAGAGUUUUUCUAUGCUGGUAAAUGAUGUUCUUAAUUUUGGAAUCUAACUUUGGUUGAACAACAGCUAUAUACGAUCAUGGCCUUAAAAACACACAUUUCAAAUAGGGUGGUCUUGUUUUUCAUGUAUUGUAAAUCUGUAAUGUAGCUAUGUUCAACCUGCUAUUUGAUCAAUCAAGUUAAAAUGAUGUUUCUCCGUCACUAUAUCUGUGUGUAAUUUGGCGCCAGUUGUCCAUUUGUCCUGGAUAAAAAGUUUUCUUUUGCUUAUGUGCUGGAAUUCUCUUGAUGUAUUUCAUAGAUCACGGUGUACAUGAUUUCACGGACAAUGUUGAACUCGACGAUAGCAGUAACAAAAAUCUGAAAAGCAGCAGUGAUAAAGAAUAUCUGAAAGAAGGUCACAGGAUGCAACCUUUCCCUGAAAGUGGUGAUCCUGAUGAUGCAUACGAGUUUCAAAAUGUUGGGUCGUUAAAUGCAGAUGUUCAACAUUCUACUGCUCUUAAAGCUGAGGAAGAUCCAGAGACAAAUAUUGAUCUUGCUCUCUCUAAUUUUCAUCGAGAAUACGAGGUAUUUGAAUUGAGAAUUAUCCACCGCAAGAACAGGUUCAAAGUCUCUUUUUUCUUUGAUUUUCCUUUGUUAAAUUGUAUGUUGUUUAAUCCAUUUUUGUACUGAUAUAAUAGGCAUCCACUGCAGGACUGGCUUUGAAGAAAACAAAGAUUUUCCCAUUGUCUUGAGUUCAGUUAUUGCUGGAAGAUAUUAUGUCACUGAAUAUCUAGGUUCAGCUGCAUUCAGCAAGGUCGUGCAAGCACAUGAUCUUCAGACAGGAAUGGAUGUUUGCCUUAAAAUAAUAAAAAAUGAUAAGGAUUUCUUUGACCAGAGCUUGGAUGAGAUAAAACUCCUGAAGUUCGUGAACAAAUACGAUCCGCUAGACGAGCACCAUUUGCUGCGCCUCUAUGACUACUUCUACCAUCAGGUACAUACCUCUUAAGAGAGACAAUUGGCUAAGUUACUUCCUUUGACUUAACAUGUUUGGAUCCUAAGAAGGCAUCUCAAGGGAUAUACUCCAGGUGACUAGGUCUCGAGUAAUAUCUUAAAAAGGAUCUGUUCUAACAAUAUACCAUUUUACUUUGACUAGUAUACUUGAUUUCUCGCAUGUUUGGCAGCAGAUUUUAGUGGAAAUUUUCAAUUUGUAUGAUCUUGCGUGGUGCUGACAGCAAACAAAUAUUGACAGGAACACCUUUUUAUUGUCACUGAACUACUGAGAGCAAAUCUGUAUGAGUUUCAGAAAUAUAAUCAGGAAUCUGGCGGUGAGGUGUAUUUUACUUUGCCUAGGAUACAGGUAUGUUAUCCGUCUUUCACUGAGAUGUUCUCUACUUCUCCAUGAAUGUUACUUAUACUGAGAAUAUGAGAUCAUGCCUUUACAUAAUAUAAGCAUUUGCAUUCCACUCUGCAGUUAGCUCCUUAGCCAAAAUCAUUUAACAUGUCACACGUUUAAACACACAAUUAUUCAGCAAUUGGACUGUUCACUGAGCAAACAUGUUUGAUACCCUGAAAGCUGAAACGGUAGCUUUUACAAAUAUGACUAACACUUUUGAGUAACAAGCGCAAGUUUCAUUCAGAAAGCUACGAAGUUCUAGCAAUUUAAAAGUUUCCCUUUCUUGUAGGCUAUAGCUCGGCAAUGCUUAGAGGCGCUGGUUUACUUGCACCAUUUGAGGAUCAUUCAUUGUGACCUAAAGCCAGAGAAUAUUCUUAUCAAGAGCUACAGUAGAUGUGAAAUUAAAGUCAUUGAUCUGGGAAGUAGUUGCUUCUUGACAGACAACUUAUGCCUCUAUGUCCAAUCACGCUCAUAUCGAGCUCCUGAGGUCAUUCUGGGCCUACCAUAUGAUCAGAGGAUUGAUAUUUGGUCUCUUGGUUGCAUCCUUGCUGAACUAUACACUGGUGAAGUAAGUAUGCUUUGUUCACUUGAUACACACUAGUCUUAGUAGUAUCUUGGCAAUUUUAAUACCUCCUUUCUUAUCUGAAUGCAAUACCAACAUAUAAUUCCAACCAGAAUUAUAUCUUUUGUUAAUGUUGUAAGCAUAUCUUGUGAGCUGGAGAGUUGUGUACUUGGGUCAUUUGGGUGUUCGGGGUGCUUUAUUGACAUGGAAAUGCUAGAAUUGGGACAGGAGACACAAAAGUACUUCACUGAUGAUUAUGAUCUUUUUACCAAGAAUGAGGUAAAAUUCUUUUUUCAUCCUUGCUUGCCUGCUCAAAAUAAAAGGCAAAAUGAGUAUUCUGUAACCAAAAUCAAAGGCAAAAUUUCACGAGUUGGCUCUUAUUGUUUCCUUCGCCUUCGUAGUUUUAGUUGCAUUGUUACCCAUCCUAAGAAAAUAUUGAAUUUGCUACACAAUUAUAUUUAUGUGGCUUCUUACUUGUUUGGUAUACUCAACUACUCGGAGACAUAAAUAUAUGGCCUUUUGUCAGUUUACCUGUACCAGCCCAGAAGAACUACGUUGAUAUCUAUCACUGGUGGUUGUACAACAGUAAACGCUAACACUUCCCUUCAUUGCUUUAUUUAUAUCCAGGAGACAGAUCAGCUAGAGUAUUUGAUCCCGGAGAAAUCCUCCUUGCGACGACACUUGCAGUGUCCUGAUUCAGAAUUUCUUGAUUUUCUAUCCUAUCUGUUGCAAAUAAACCCCAGGAAAAGACCAACGGCCGAUGAAGCACUACAGCAUCCAUGGCUUUCUUUUGCUUACUGAUAAUAAGCCAUCCGGUGCUUUCCUUUACUUCUUGGACAACUUUCUUCACACAUAAGGAUGAGUUUGUGCCUCUCUAAUUUGGAGCCCUGUAAAGUUCCUGAAAAAUACCCAAAAAUAACGAUUUUCUUGGAGUUUCUCUUAACAUGAAACAUUACUAUUUUCCUUAGCUGUAGAAGAGUCGUCCUUUGUGGUUGCAGGAUUCUAGUUUUUUUUCUUCUUCAGGAGUUCAGGGUAAUUCUUAGUGUGGAACCCCUGCUCUGUCAGUGAUUCCUGAGUGCAUGUAAAUAUCAGAAAUUUUCCACGGUGUAUCUGUACAGUUGAAAGUCCACUCUUGUACUCCAUCUGAUUCGUUAAUGAUAACAUGAGGAAAUAUUGUCAAGGUUUCGUCAUUCUUGGGUCUUGUCUCUAUCGUUGAUGUGUCCAUGGUUCCUUUGCACUUGUACUAUAUUUGUUCAGCACACGUGAAUUGUUUGCGAGGGAAAACUGAUGUGUCGACUGUCGAUACGAUGCGAGGAAAACAGAUCGGUUUGCGAGGAAAAUAGUUUAGUGAAGAGACAGGAUGGGACCAAUGACGUUGGCAGAUCGUGGUAUCUUCUGAUCUCUGUGGUCCAAAUUUUGACACAGCGUAACACGUUAAUUUGUGGUUGCUGUGAAUUCCUCGGCGUCCUGAGCUACCGUUUGAGUUUCUUGUCAGCUUCUCAACAUGAAAAACUAAAAAAUCAAAUAAAUAGUAAAUAUUCUGUGCAGCUUUUUGAAAAGUCAGAAGCUCGAAAAAAUUAAGUUCAUAUGAAAAGUUAAAAAGCUCAAUUCUGAAAUUUUCGUAAUUUUUUGACACCAAAAGCUAAACACAUCUCCUAAAAGUUAUCCUAAAAGUUAGUACAACUUUUCAGGGAAAAAAAAAAAGCUAACAUCAGCUUUUAAAAAGCCCUGCAACAUCCAGUUCGCGCAGCUUCCGCCGCUCGAUGCAAGCCCAAGCCCAAUGGACAGUGCCCACGGGCCACGGCUCGCAUGCCGCUGCUUUUGCUCGCUCCUUUCCUGCCGUCCCCACCAACGGCAAAAAUCUCCUAUCCGUUUCUCCCCUGCCGCGCCACCGCCACUCCCGCUCCCACGAGGCCGAGCACGCCCACGAGCCAUGCCACCCACCGCCGCGUCCGCGGCCACGGCCGCGGCCGCCGCGCUGCCCUCUCCUUCGCAGCGCCGCGUCCCGGCAGCAAAAUCCGUCUGGCUGAACCCCAACCUCCCCACCUCCCACCCCCUCCACCACCGCCACAAGUCCGCCGCCGAGCUCCAACAGCGCCAGCACGAGGACCGCACCAUCGACGUCUCCGCACUCGUGUCCGCGCUCUCCGUUUCGCGGACGUUGGCCGACCUCGCCGCCGCGCUCGCCCCGCACCGCCCCGUCUCCGCGCGCCUCCUCGGCGCGCUCCUCUCCCGCCUCUCCGACCCGCGCCGCGGCGUCGCGCUGCUCGACCUCCUCGCGCCGGACCUCCCGGCGCCCGCGCUCCUCAUCCCCUACAACCUCCUCCUCCGCUCCGCCUGCCGCGCUGGGGACCUCCGCCUCGCCUCGGGCCUCCUCCUCGAGAUGCGGGACAGGGGCGUGGCCCCCGACGCGUUCUCAUACUCCACGCUCCUCGCCGCGCUCACCCGCGCGGGCCACCUCGACCACGCGCUCACUUUCCUGCCGCUCAUGGAGGACGACGCCGUGGCCCCGGACCUCAUCCUCUUCUCCAACCUCAUCCACCUCGCCCUCCGCGGCGGCGACGCGCCCAAGGCGCUCGCGCUCUUCUCCCGCCUGCGCGGCGCGGGGAUCAGGCCCGACCUCAAGGCCUACAACGCCGCCGUCGCCGCCUACUGCAAGUCCGACCUGCUCCGCGACGCCAAGCGGCUGCUGCUCCAUGACAUGCCCGCCGACGGCGUCGCGCCCGACGCGGAGUCGUACUCCCCCAUCCUCGCCGCGCUGGCGCGCCGCGGGCGGCACCUCGCGGCCGUGUCGCUCUUCUCGCACAUGCGCGCCGUCGCGCGCGUCAAGCCGGACCUCUCGGUGUUCAACAUCGUGCUCAACGCGUACGGGCAGCUCGACCUCGCGCGCGAGGCGGACCGGCUGUUCUGGAACAUGCGCCGGGCCGGCGUGGCGCCGAGCGUGGUGACCUACAACACCAUGCUCCGCGUCUACGGCGACGCCGGGCUGUUCGGCGAGGCGGUUCACCUGUUCGACCUCAUGCGCAGCGCUUCCGAUGGCACUGGUGGCGCUGGGAGCAGCGUCAAACCCAACGUGGUAACAUACAACACCAUGAUCGCCAUCUACGGCAAGUCGCUGGAGGACGAGAAAGCCGGGAGCUUGGUGCAGGACAUGCAGGCCAACGGCGUCCAGCCCAAUGCCAUCACUUACUCCACCAUCCUCUCCAUAUGGGUGAAAGCCGGGAAGCUCGACCGUGCUGCCAAGCUGUUUGAGAAGCUGCGGGAAGCCGGCACGGAGAUCGACCCAGUGCUGUACCAGACAAUGGUGGUGGCGUAUGAGCGUGCCGGGCUUGUUUCCCAGGCCAAGCGUUUGCUGCACGACCUGAAAGAACCGGAGGGCAUCCCCAAGGAGACAGCCAUCAGAAUCCUGGCGAGCGCCGGUCGUGUGGAAGAGGCCGCAUGGCUGUUCCGUCGUGCAGCCAACGCUGGCGAGAUCAAGGACUCGUCGGUGCACAGAGCCAUGAUGGACUUGUUCGCGAAGAACCGGAGGCACCGGAAUGUGGUUGAGGUGUUUGAUGAAAUGAGGAAGUUGGGCCAGUUGCCGGACUCGGAGAUGAUCGCCACCACGAUGAAUGCUUGUGGAAAGCUGAAGGAAUUCGACAAGGCCGCAGCGCUAUACCAGGCAAUGAGGGAGGAAGGCUGCGUGUUCUCAGACCGGGUGCACUUCCAGAUGAUCAGCCUGCUUGGAGCUCAGAAGGACUUCAAGGCGCUGGAGACGCUGGUCGGCGAGCUUAGCCAUGACCCAAGCAUCGACAAGAGGGAGCUUUAUCUUGUGGCUGCCGGCAUCUAUGAGAGAGCAGACAAGUUUGAUAAGGCAUCCCAGAUAAUCAGCCAGAUAAGAAGCUCCAACGGUUUUGAUGUCAGGAAAUUCAGAUAAAAUGCUCCAUGUCCCAGUAAUUCUUACGUCCAGAGAAUCUGACGACAAUGUUUCAGAUAAAAUAAUAAAGAGCACUGACAAAAAAAACAUGGUUGUAAUUGGUGUGCAUAUCCUUUUCCUAGUGUUUGUUUUCUUUGUUUCUUUUUUCCUUUCCUGAAUGAAUCAUACAAGUAUCAAAACAUGCUAUCAGCACUAAUUAUUGAGCUUAGACUAAUAUUUAUGGUUACAUAUCAAAUUGUUAGAUCCAUAAAUACAUUAGUGUUGACGGAAUGGUGAUAAAAUGCCCAGGUCAUUUGUUCUCAUGGUGUAAACUUGGAUGUCGUUGACCCACGAACUGUUCAUUAGACUAUCUGAACUGUCAACAGUCAAAUUUUACAACAAGAGCUGAUAUACAACAAUUAAUUGAUAUAAAAAUGCUCCACUACACAUACAAAUCUGACGUUAUGCUAGAUUACAAUUUUCUUAUCUUCGGAUGUGGCAACUCCAUAUGAACAGUGACUCGAUUUUAUCAGGAACCCUAAAUGAAUAUAGAUAAUGUACAAGCGCUCCCCCUCUGAGGGAAUUAUAGCGUGGUAGGCACUUGAGCCUUCACCAAAACAAUUCCACAGGACGGCAGCAGAACUUACACUGCCUGAUUAGUUUGGGGGAUCCCAUGCUUUUGGAACCAUUCUGGCAUAUGAAACCUUUCAUGCAACACGGGCCUGACAUCUUUCUGGAGGGAAAGAUGCUUCAGAAGUGGAAAUAUAACCGUCAUGAGCUGAAAUGUUUAAACAAGAAAAUCAGUAUAAUCUUAUGUUAGCAUUGAUCUUGUUACUAGAGAGUUGUAUCCAGGCUCAGCUAGUGUCUAGGUUCACGUUCAUUGCUAGGGGAUCUGUUUGGUUCAAGCCCUGGCAGGCAGCUCGGUCCCCAGGCGGCACUGCCAGCUGCAGGCGUCUGAAAUCAGACGCCUGGGAUCGCUGCCUGCACCAGGCAGCACCGCUCAGGAGCGAAUCAAACAAGCCCUUGUGCUAGCUAGAUUUCAGGAUGUAUUUGAGAAUAAUGAGCAGAUCAUAGGAGGUAUUGACUGCAUUAGUUAGGAGGAUACCAUGGGCAAGUGUAUAGCCAUGUACCAGUUAUAUAUAAAAGAAAAAACGAUGAAGGCGACCAAAACUAUUUGUGUUGUUUCGUGCUUGUAACAUUUUAGAGAGAGGGAGUGAAUUCCAACAUAGAGAGUAGAAGUUCAGAUACAGUGGAUGAUUGGUGCUCAUCAUCAGUUACCUGAUCAUCAGAAUGUUGUCCAGCUGAAAAUGGAACACAAGGUAUGCCAUUCAAAGGCUGAAGAAUGAAACUGAAUGGAUUGUUGUCGACAAUGACGAUUCUGCAGAAAUCUUUUGACACGCAAGAAAGAUCUUUCACAUGUUCUCUGAAUUCCCUGUAAUCGUGCACAAUCCAUUGAUAUUAGACAAGGAUCAUUCAGGUUAUUGCCAAAUAAGUACAGUAUGGUUCAAGCAGGCAGGCAGGAAGAGAAAAGAAUAUCAAGAAACAAGCAUAUUAUGAUUGAGUAGCAUGGUGAAUGAACACAAAAAUGCAUGCUAAAGGAAGCAUCCAUGGUUCGUCACUAAAGAAAUCCCACGAAGCAACUUAGCAGAAACGAGGAAAAACACAGGCAACAAGAGACCGAACAAGACAGCCUGAGCACAUAUUGCAUAUGUGGUAAAUUUAUUGAGUUCAGAUAUUCUGAGAAAUACUUGGUAAAGAAGAUGAGAAAAUGAGAUGAAGCUAAAAUUCUAAACACCACUUGCAUUCCGUGUGCCUAAUAUGAACAUCAUCAUUGAUUGCUACAUACAAGCUUUGGCUAUGAUCUGUUUUUUUUUUCACUUAGAAAGGUGCUGGAGUGCUAACUAACUUUAUAGAGAAGGUAAUGUAACUUACGUGGUAACAGUUGAUGGGCGGUAGAGACGGAGUCUGAAUCUAUUGUGGACAUCUAUUCGGUCAACUAAAGGUCUAGCAUAACCUGAGGGAACAUGGAUAGGUUAAGCGUGGGAAGUGAGCCAAAAUUGGUGAAGAAGAAAAAUAAGAGCAGCCAACAUACCUUCUAAACCUGCUGUAAAAAGGAUAAGAUCUGCAAAUUCACUAGUUUUCUGCAAGAACUCAUGCAAACCAGGACGCUCAAAAACAGUCACAUGAUUCACCUUCUGUUUUCCAUCAACAUCCUUUAAAGUUUACACAAGCAGAGCUCAUUUAUCUGUUGUGCUUCAAAUGAUUAAGCAAAGUGAGGUAGCAAAAGUAGAAGUCCGGUACCUUAUCAGACGAUAUGCAUUCCAUGUCAAAGCAAUGUAAUCCUGCUUCAACAGCUUGGGUGCGUACAAUAACAGGAAGACUAGAUGAUUCAUAUGCAGAAACUAAAGUCUCAUCCAAGUCAAGCACUACCUGAAAAGAUAACCCUGAUGUUGUCAGAAAUAUUCGAUGCAGAUACACGAGAGAAAAUUAUUCGAGCAGACUUCAUUUCAAGGCAAUCAGGAAGUACUGCUUAGUAUUAAUAUAACUAUCAUGGCAGUUUUGGCUCCAUUUACGUGACGCUAUAACAGUAUAACUUUAAUCAUUUACAUCAGUAAGAGAUUAAAGUUCUUUGCCGAUCUGAACUAUCAUAAACCCUGUUAUGAGAAUAGCUUACAGUAUAACAGACCAUGUACUGAUCAUCUAUAAUCAGUUGGUAUGAUAGUAUCUUGUAAUCCAGGUCCUAUGGAGAUGUCUAAUAAUGAUGGCAAGUUCAAGUAUCUACUCACCUACACACAAUAACAGAGAACCAGUAUUCUGAAACUAUUUCACAAAGCGUCACUAGAAGAUCACGAGAAACAUAUUGCCCCCUGUUCAGAGAGGAUAUAAUGCAACCGUACUACUAUAAAAGCAAGCAUUUGUUUGGCAAUAGCAGCAACUAAUUGCCAUGCUAGGGAGUCAAUUAUGGCAACUUCUAGCACAUAAUCCUCAAACAAGGCCUGCUACACAGUUAAAAUGCUAAUUAUUCUACAGAAACACAUCAAUUAAACUACCUGAAUUAAGCCGCCAAACCUCUGGAUUAACCUCAAAUCAGACACUCCACCAAAUCCCAAUCACCCCCCAAAUACCAAAGCAUCCUCCAGUUAGAUCAACAGGCACUUCCCACCGUCCCAAGUCCAGUGUACUACCCAAUUGAAACCCAUAUACUUCCGAAAGGCGCCAUUUUCCCCCACCCCAGACACCAAAAACUCCAGCGAAUCCAAUAAAAAACCGAAUCUUCGUACCGUGAGGCGGCCCAGGGGCUCAGGUGGAGCCGCGGGUGCAGGGGCCACGUCAGCUGGGAUCUCGGAGCGGAGCGGCAUGAAGGCUACCUCCGGCGACGGCUCGGAGGCCGCGGGCCCGGAGAGGAGGGGGUAGCGGAAGCCGACGAAGGACAGGAGCUGGGCGCAGGAGGGGGUGCCCCGGAGGAUCUGGAGCAGGACCUGGAGGAGGAAGCCGAUCCACCCCACCACCGUCCGCCACGCCUGCGACGCCACUUUCCCCCGCUGCUGCUGCUGCGCCGCCGCCGCCGCGGUCGGCGAGUACACCUCCGCCGCCGCCAUGGCCUCCGGCGACGAGCUGUCGCACCACGUGGGGACGGACCGUCAGGGAGCCUCCAGCCGGGAGGAGGGAGGGAGGGGGAAGGCAAGGCCGGAGGCAACCGGAGGAGGAGGAGGCGGUGGUGGUGGUCGGUCUCCGCGCCCUCGUCCGUGUACGUGGUGUUUUUGUGUGCGGGUGAGCUUAGCGGAAUAGGGUAUUGGUGAUUGGUGGUAGAUUCAGCGGUCCCCACCUGUCAGUGAUGGUACAGCUGGACUGCCGAGCUGCCGCGAGUGGUAAUUAUCGUACGCGCACGCGCAGUUUUCAAAUUUUUUUUGGCUGCGCAUUUCGCUGUUACUAGUUCUGGCUUUGAUCUCUCUACCUCUACCCCUCUAUUGUUCUUGUUCGCUUUGCUGCGAUGGAAAUAUCCAUGGUGGUGUACAGUGAUGUUGACCUAUUGUUAAUACAGCUGGAAAUCUGGAGAAUUCAAUCCAACUUGUUUGAUUUCAAUAACAUGUUUUUGUCUGGUACUCCAUUAAACUUCAAACAAUCAAGAUUGACAUUGUCUUUCCUGGACUAAUGGCAUACGGUAGAAAACAAUUUAGUCAAUCCUGUGCUUGACCAUGCUAACAAUACAUAGUAUUUUAGUGUUUUUAUUCAUAAUUUUUCUAUGCAUCUAGUAUACUAAAUAGAUAUAUUGCAAAAAUAAUAUAUUUUAAAAAAAUAAAAUGAUUUAUAAUUUGAAACAGAGAAAGUACUUAGCUAGGAAAUGAAUAUGUAACAAUAAAGUUGGAGAAAUGAUUAUUGCAAUCAAGUACUGGUACAAAAUUUAGCUGGCACAACACAAAUAUUCCUUUCUCCCUCGCCUGAACAUGCCAUGCUCUGAACCAAAGGCAUUGCUUUUCUCGGCAUUUCUUUUCGUGAAGAUUAUACCAAAGUGGCUUUGAUGCCCUCUGUUCUAGGAACAAUGGAAACAAGUGUGGGCCAUGAUAGUAUAUUGCUUAAAUAGUGGUUUGGUAACAGCCACCCAAGUACCUAACCCAAAGCCGGCUAGACAGGGACAGGACCUCAUCUAGCUGGCUCUAGUAAAAGAGUAGAAUUGAAUAGUUAAUACCAACUAGACGUGUCCUGCUUGUAUACGUGCUCCGACCACACGUAGGCGGUGUUUGAUAACAGAGGCUAAACUUUAGCAGUGUCACAUAGGAUAUUCGGAUGCUAAUUAGGAGGACUAAACAUGAGUUAAUUAUAAAACUAAUUGCAGAACCUCUAGGCUAAUUGGCGAGAUGAAUCUAUUAGUCCCAAUUAAUCCAUCAUUAGCAAAUGGUUACUGUAGCACCAUAUUGUCAAAUCAUAGACUAAUUAGGCUUAAUAGAUUCGUCUCGCGAAUUAGACUCCAUAUAUGCAAUUAGUUUUGUAAUUAGCCUAUGUUUAAUAUUCCUAAUUAGUAUCAAACAUCCGAUGUGACGGGUGCUAAACUUUAGCGGGUAGUAUCCAAACACCCCCGUAGUCAAAGGGGCCGUUUGGUUCCAGAGCUAAACUUUAGCCCCUGUCACAUCGAAUGUUUAGAUUCUAAUUAGAAGUAUUAAACAUAGAUUAUUUACAAAACUCAUUGCACAGAUGGAGGCUAAACGAUGAGACGAAUCUAUUAAGUUUAAUUAGUUCAUGAUUUGACAAUCUGUUGUUAGACCAUUUACUAAUGAUGGAUUAAUUCGGCUUAAUAGAUUCAUCUCACUGUUUUAGCUUCCAUCUGUAUAAUUAGUUUUAUAAUUAACUCAUAUUUAAUCUUUCCACUUAGUCUUCGAACUUCAAACUUUUACUAAACUUUAAUUCAGGAUGAAACACCCCGAAGGCUCGUAGCUAUGGCUGCAAUGGAGUUGGAAAAGACCAAAACCGUUCUGAUGUCAUGUCAUACCUUUGCAGGAUGAGUCCAAACACUUUCAGGAUUGGCCUCAUUGGUUCUACAGCACCCUCACCCAUCCCGUGAUGGGACGCGAAUAAACGGCAAACUCUGACCUUGGAUUUGCACAGCAGAACUGUUCCCUUGGAUUGUGAAUUUGUGAUUAACCGAGCACCUGCCACUGCCCUGGUAAAUCCACCCUCGUUCGUAUCUAGAUCCUCAUCCUCCUAUUCUUACAUAUAUCUAAUAGAUAAUUAAUUUUGUAAAUAUCUAAUGGAUCCCUUCCUACUCUACCCUCUCCAUUUUUAAUAGGUAUAUAUUUUUCUACUUAUACCCUUUAGGUGGAAUUUGGGUAUGAAUUAUGGAUACCCAGGCUUAACCAAACCUGGGUCCGUGUUAAAAAAGGUGCACUUGCUUGUCAGUUUUUAUCCGUUAAAACAGAUAAGCUUCUUCUUUUUAACUGCGCAGCAGAUAAACUUUACCGUCAACGUAAAUUGUAGUCACGUUCGUACCAAAAGGAUAACUGUGUGCUUCCUAAAAAAUAAUGUUGUGUACUUACUGACAUUUACAUCUCUCAAGUACUCUGUUCCAAAUUACUUUACCUUUUGGUUUUUCUAAAUUUAGAUAUAUGCUAUACGUAACAAAAUUAGAAAACCAAAAUGAAUUGUAAUUUGGGACAGAGAGAGUAACAAUAAGUUAUGCGUUGUUGGUUCGAACUGGUGCUCUAUAUCUGGCAACAUUGAAAGCGUGUCAUGCUCGAAGCCUCGAACUGAUUCGGCGUUCCACUGUUGCGUCUCGGAUUCGUCGGCUACGGAAUUAUGCGUUGUCGGUUCGAACUGGUGCUCCAUAUCUGGCAACAUUGAAAGCGUGCCAUGCUCGAAACCUCGAACUGAUUCGGCGUUCCACUGUUGCAUCUUGGAUUCGUCAGCUACGGAAUUAUGCGUUGUCGGUUCGAACUGGUGCUCCGUAUCUGGCAACAUUGAAAGCGUGUCAUGCUCGAAACCUUGAACUGAUUCAGCGUUCCACAGUUGCGUCUCAGAUUCGUCGGCUACGGAAGGUUGGAUCUGGAAAAAUAAAGGGUGAGGCGGCUCUCCGAGUGCAAGCUUUCGCAAGUGCAGAAACAGCACGGCCUGUUCGGCUGAACUUAUAAGCCGGCUGAAAAGCUGAAACGGCUAAUUUGUUGUGAGAGAAAAAUACUGUUUGGUGGCUGAUAACCUGAAGCGAACAUGCUGAUCAUGACCUUGAUGAGAGAUUCUUUACCUUCACCUACAAUAGCAAGUCGGCACCUGGGCUUUCCUGCAAACGGCAAUUCUAGGUGCCUAUUUCACGUAUGCAUCGAGUCGAGCUUCAACAAAUUGCAAAAUCAUCAGAGUUUGGGACUUCUUUCGGACCUAAAAAACUUCGAAGCCAAGCGAAUUUCAACAUUUCAGCUAAGCUCACAUGCCCAGCGUACCUUUUUUCCUAUCAGAAACGUGAACAUCAGUUGGCGAAUUUUUUUCCCCAAUCAAAUCACUGUUCUUUAUAGGUUGCGUGAGAUGCUUACAAUGGAGUGGUUGAAAACUGAAUUUCUAUCUGCAUUAAGUUUUUCUGGGCUAUUUUUUCCCCCCGGUGGGUGGCCAGUCGCCCAGUCCUAUCCAUUCGAGUGGCAUCGUGGCAAAUGGAGCUCUGAAAUUAUCCUCCUCGCCUCCUCGCAGUCGCAGUUGCAGGCUUGCAGCGUUCGGCUAACAAGGGGCAGAUCCGCAGGCCGCAGCGUGCACCGACGCCAGUCGAGCCUGCGCGCGCCCAUGGAACCUGGCAAGAAGGAGGAGGUGGCUGCGGUGAGGGUGGUGACGCUGCGGGCGGUGGAGGCCACGCCCGGGUCCGUGGUGGAUUUCGUGCGGAAAUAUAGGUAGCCUUGCCUUGGGAUGCCGCGGCUGAGGUCGAGCUGGGCGUCGUCGGGGCCGAACUUGGCGCGGUCGGAGCCGCCGGAGACGACCUGUAUAUUUCCGCACGAAAUCCACCACGGACCCGUCAAAUCGAACCAUAAUACUCGCAGAUUCUACAUCAUGAAAUUGGAGAACCAGCCGCUCAAGUUCUCGUCCAUCACCCACCACGCCAACGUGACCCAGUGCCUUGGCUCCAUCGGUGGCCAAGAUUGGUACCUUGCCGUCGCCAAGCCGUCGCUCGUGGAUGGAGCGUCCGAGCUGAGUGGUCAGGAGACUCAGGAUCAGGAUGGGAGCUCCCGAAGAAGCCCGUGCCAUUGGGAGGAGCCCGUGCCGUCUCGCGCAGGUCACUACUACCUGCCUCCCGAUCCGGCCGAGGUCUGCGCCUUCCGGGUUUCUGGCCUCAAGUUCCUCAAGCUGCACAAGGGGACCUGGCACGCCGGGCCCCUGUUCAGGGCGGAUGCCAUGGAUUUCUAUAACCUGGAACUGAGCAACACCAACGUAAGUGUUAAGUUACUGAAUUGGAGUGUUAAGUUGCUGAAUUGGUAGUUCUUGUUACUUCGAUUUCAUCAGUUACUGAUUUUCCUGUUUUCCUGCCAUUUUAGAGUAUUUUUUUCUUCAUCUUUUUUUGUUGUUGCGGAUUUACAUUUUAGAGAGUUCAGCAAGAUGUUCUAUCUUUAUGGUGAUCUUGCAUUUCUGUGGAGUGUUCACUUGAUAUACUGCACGUCUUUCAGAUCUCACAUGUCUGCUUUGAUGGAUGAAAUUUGAUGGACUCUGUAAUGAAUCACUCAAAUAAAAGCUAGACCUGUUCUCUUGCUUGUAAACAGACUUGGUUCUGUUUACAUUUCAGUUUUCUGCAUUCACUCUGUCCAUACUCAUGGAAUGGUUAUGUUGAUUCAUGUUAUAUAUAAGUGAACUAUACCUGGUGGAGUGUGCCAGUCCUAGUCUAAAUUGAAUCAUUAUUUGCCGAAGUUGGCAGUAAAUUUCUACUUUUUGGCAGUCUGCGAAAUAGCUCGAAUAAUGUUACAAUAGCCAAUAGGUUUAUUAAAUUGACACCACUCCUCUUCUGCCUUUUUCAGAUUGUUGAUCAAACCAUACACCGUUUCAGGAAGCUGGACGGGGUAACUUUUGUUGUUGAGGAUUGAAACACGUGUUGUGACCUAUGGCUGAUCCUGCUGGUCUCUGUCUUGAGGUGUUCAAGGGAAGGAACAAGAAUAAACACUGUACUUGUUGUGUACAGCUGCACACCUGAGCUGCUUGCUCGAGUUUGUGCCUUCUGUUUCUGUCAGUAAAAAAAAGAAGGUGAUGUGUGAUGUUCCUGGCAGCUUAGCUCAAUCUUUGAAAAAGCUUAAGGGGGUGUUUGGAUACAAGGUACUAAACUUUAGGAGGGGUCACAUCGAAUGUUCGGACGCUAAUUAGAAGGACUAAACAUGAGCUAAUUAUAAAACUAACUAACUGCAGAACCCCUAUACUAAUUCGCGAGAUGAAUCUAUUAAACCUAAUUAAUCCAUCAUUAGCAAAUGGUUACUGUAGCACCACAUUGUCAAAUCAUGGACUAAUUAGGCUUAAUAGAUUCGUCUCGUAAAUUAGACUCCAUCUGUGUAGUUAGUUUUGUAAUUAGAUUAUAUUUAAUACUUCUAAUCAGUAUCUAAACAUCCGAUGUGACAUGUCAUAAACUUUAUGACCUCGCGUCCAAACAGGCCCUAACUUGAGCAAGAAAAUCAUGACAAAUCACUAAGCAUCGCACCUAGGGGGUGUUUGGCACACAGGGACACUAAUUAGAAGUAUUAAACAUUAGUUAAUUACAAAACUAAUUGCACAACCUCUAGGCUAAAUCGCGAGACGAAUCUAUUAAACUUAAUUAGUCCAUGAUUUGACAAUGUGGUGCUACAGUAACCAUUCGCUAAUGAUGGAUUAAUUAGGCUUAAUAGAUUCGUCUUGCGAUUUAGCCUAGGGGUUCUGCUAUUAGUUUUGUAAUUAGCUCAUAUUUAAUCGUCCUAAUUAGCAUCCGAACAUCCGACGUGACAGGGUUAAAGUUUAGCCCUUAUCUUCCAAACACUCCAUAGACAUUCUUGUCAGUUCAACCACCGCUCUUCUUCACGAGACGGACGAGACGUUCACAAAUUGCAAUUCCGGAUGCGUUCAAGAGAUGAGUGGACAGGAUCAAUGGACUAGACGUGUUCCAUGUCGAACACGUGCACGCCAUGCACGGUUGCCCCAGAAAUUGGCAGAACCUCCUGCCCGGUUAGCCGUGGCACAUGGCGGUUUACCGCUUCUGAUACGGACCCGAAUUACCAUACAUACCUAAGAAUCCAAGCUUACGCAUCUCGAUGAUAAUCUCAGAAAGACUAUUACGUGCAAAUUCCUAUUUUGGAUAGUACAAACCUAUAUCAACACGAAAACAUAAAGUAGCAAAAGAGUAAAAUAUCAUAAUUAUUAAUAUAACACUUUGGCACAAGCCGGUACAAGUCCAUCAGGACUGAAUCAUGAAAGGUAACAUUUUUACGUAGCGGAAACAUAUAGCAUGGCGAACAAUAUCUCCAGAGGCAACUUGAGCGAGGGACCAUCCCUAGUCUUCCCAUCCGUCGUUAUUGAAGUCGUAGCCGGACUCCGAUCCUAAAAAGCUACCAUCUACCCGAGAAACAAGUAGGCCAUGUCAACUCCCAAAAGCAGAAAACCAAGGAAACGGGGAAAAUAACACUAUAUGCAUGGAUAAACCUAUAUAUGGCUGUGGAGGUUUAUGCAACAGCAACAACUACAAUCAAGGAUACAACAAAACAAUACCAUUCUCGAGGACAACACCUCACAACAAGGAAGUCAUCACAAACCACCGUAUCCUUCCUAAGAACCCAGCACCCAAAUACACUAGGCGAUGUGAGAGCUUCCUCCCCUCACAUCUCAACUGCAAACGCUAGCCUAUCUCAAAAGGGGAGGUAGAAGAGUAGUAAAGUCUAGUCAGAGUAACAUAUCAGAGGAUUGUCCAUACCAGUGGACACAGACUAUAGCUAUAGGUUAUACACUCUGCAGAGGUUGUACAUCUGUACCCGCACGGAUGGAGCCUGAACGGGGAUCAGCCGUCCAAACCCCAUCUAAUAGCCGGAGCCUAGUAGGUGGCUAGCACUCUCCUGUUUCCUCGAGUCUGAUAGUAUUUUCAUCUGCAGGGCACGCCGUCAUCGGUCGGAGAUCUCAAAGCUGUGAAACCUACCCACGCCGGGGUGCAGUCUGGUCAAAGCAGGUCAACACCUCGAACUUCUUACACCGAUCCUCCAAUCUGCCUAUAUGUUGAGCGCUAUCCACCACUAGUUUCGGACCGAACCCCGUCUAUAACAAGACGAACGGUAUGUACGUAUAUAGUCAAAAAAAAUAUGGUUAAACUGACUCGGUCCUCAAGGGCCGAGAGCGAGCACUUUCUCCACAAAGUAUGUGCUGAAGCAUCUGCAACGUACAAGUACGCCACCUACUCCUCAGUGUCAAACAAGGUACCCGCCACGAGAACAGUGGGUGGAGAGAGACCAUAAUGCUCUCUCGUAGCAAGGCACUCCUCAGUACCAACCGCGGCUCGCUCCUGCCAAAACACGUCAAGGAAUCACACUCACCCAAAACACACGCGAGAGUAUACAAGAAAUCAUAUCACCAAAAUCAUAGCAUAUGCAUAUCCAUAACUCAAAAGUAUGUAUAUGGAAGUAAAGUGGAAUCGCUAGGGGUCUGUAGCUAGUCCACAAGUAGGUAACAAGGAAAACAAGAUAAACAAGGCAUGGCUAAAAUCAUAGGCUAUGCAAUCAAUCAUCAUCCAAGCAUCUUAAUUAAAGCGCUAGCAACUAAGCAUGCAUAGAUUCUAUGUGAUUAGGAGUGAUAUGACACCUUGUCUGUUGUCGUUGAAGUCCUCCCUGUUGUAGUCGGGGUCGUGAGAGUCCUCGGGUUCGUAGCUCAGGUGUGAUCAGAAUGAGAUACGACGCAAUAUAAAUUAAUCGGCAUUACAUCUAUGCAAAAAUUCCAAGGAAGCUAAAUUUAGAAGAUGCAAAUCAAACUAGCCACAAACAAUACGGGCUCGAUUUUACAAAUUUAAUGCAACUGUUUUAUAUAUUUCUGAGUUAAAAUGAAUUAGUUAUGAAUUUUCUAAAGAUUAAAGAAUUUAUUAAUUAUUUAAGGAAAUUCAGGGAAAAAAGUGACAGAUGCCAGCUUCUUGUUGAGCCACGUGGUAGCACCAGAGGGCACCAUGUGUCAGAUGAACCGGUCAACAGUCAGCAUUGACCCUAUCAACAUUGACCGAUCAGCGGUCAACUAGGCCCCAUCAGUCAGCCGGCGAGCCCCAUGUGGGCCCGGCCCAUGCUGCGUUAGUGCCACAUGGCUCUAUGUGGCAGCCACGUGACCAGCUCUAUCCUACGAGGCACUGCCAUGUGGCGCACAUGUGGUAGGCGGCAGCGGCGUCGCGGGGGAAAGCGGUGGUGACCGCGCCCAUGACGUCGCGACAUGGCGCGACUGGUGCGGCGGAGAUGUGCGGAGCUCGACGCGGCAUGGCAAGGCGCCGGGUGGGGGGUUGCGGCCCGGCCAAAGGCCCUUUGGCCGCGGCAAGGCUGCGGCACAGCAACGCGUGCACGGUGCAGGGGUUUUCCCUUGCCCACGGCACGGCCGCAGCAAUGCGUGGGGCACCAUUGUUCCAAGCCAACGGCAGCCGGCAGCGAGCGACGGCGGCUCCUGCAAGGCAGCGCGCAGCACGACGGCUGAACAGGCAAGACGAGGCGGCAGCUCGAAGAUCGGGCAUGCAUGUUAUUUGGCACGGGGGCUGAACUAGGAUAGGGCGUGGGCGGUGGCGGAGCUCACCGGGAGGAGGUGAAGAAGAGGGAUGCCGGUGUGGUGAAGGCUCAUGGAAUGGCGACGGUGGCGGUGACUACUCCUCCUCGGGCGGUAGCGUUGCAGCUCCGACUCCUCCUUCUUGGCGUGGCGUGAUGGCUCCUCGGCGCUGGCCUCUUCCUCCUCCUCUACCCUUCCUUCCUUCUCCUCUCCUAUCUCCUCUUCUAUGGCUGGUGGCGGCGGUGUAGGGGACAAGCCCCCAGACGAUGGGAUGGCGAGGGAGGUUGCCCCGGCCGAGGCUAGGGUUGCGGGGAGCGGCGCUCGACCACGCACGACCGUCCAUCGUUGGCGGGCGCACCCAUGGGUAGUGUGGCGGGCAUCUGAUGGCCCUGGGCUAGGGUUUGGAGGUGCGACUGGCGGUCUACAGGGGCACGGCGUGGAUUUCCCCCUUGCGGAAGGCUCUGGAAGGUCAUGGGCAGCUAGGGCUUGGGGGGAGGCGCGCGCAGGGGCGCUCUCGCAUUGUCAUGGAGCGGGGAUAGCACGCGGGCACGGGCGUUGGUGGGAGCUUGGGGAUAAACCUGACACGCUGACCCUACGUGUCAACGAUAGGGAGAGAAGGGAGGCAACAGUGGUGGUUUGGUGGGCUAGUCUGGUGGCGAGGUAAGUGGGUUAGCGGGCCAGGCCUUUUCGGCUGCGGGCCGGUCUGGUUUUGUUAGUUUAGGUUUUGGUUUUAUAUAAAGUUUGAAUUCUGAAUCUAAUUCAAAAUUCAAACCCACUCAACUUUAAAAGCCAAAUAAAAAAUAAAAAGAUCCAACUCAAACUAACACACAACUUGAAAUUAGUUUAUGAUUUAAUUAUUAGGGAGAUUCCAGGAAAGAUGUAGCAUUUGUGUUCCAUUUUCAGAUAAGCACACAAUCAAAAAAAGUUUUAAAUUUUUGAAAAUGUCACUCACAUCAAUAUUUCUAAUUUUUAUGAAUACUAGCAGAAAUACCCAUGCGUUGCUACGGGUCACUCACAUUAAUAUUUCUAAUUUUUAGGAAUACUAGCAGAAAUACCUGUGCGUUGCUAACAUGUUCUUAUUCGCUUGUUCCUAAUACAUUGGCUUCGCUUCACAAUAUGAGUUGUCUCUAGUAGUCCUCUCUUUGCAAGUAUAGUAGUAGAAGAUAUUUUUAGGUGGUUUGAUGCCAUCUGUUUAUUACAUGGGACCCACACAUGGAAUAAAAAAAUUCACCGCUUAACCUCCGCUUUAUCCAUUCAUUCAAUUUCCUCUGUACUCAUCAUCAUCUAGCCAGUCGCUGCCUCUUCGUCCAUCGGCACCACCCGCAUCUUGCCUCAUCCUCACUGUUGCCCAGGCGCUGUGCAUCUUGCCGUCCUCGGCAGUAGUGCGUGGUGAGCGCGGGGAGGGUUGGCCACGCUUGAUGAUGUUGUUUGUCAAUUUUCAAUUAGGUCUUUGCCAAAUUGAAUUACUAAAUUAUUGAAUAUAAUUUUUUUCUCCCUUCAUGGUGCAUGGCCAUGUCCCAUGUCAAGCGAGCCUUGCUACUCCACGGUGGCUUGCGCAUGCGUCGUUGAGCCGACAUGCUCACCGCACCAGCUAAACAUUACCGAAGGACCCACCAUCAGUGACGGGUGGAAGACGUGGGUCUAGCGGCUGUAGCGCCUGCUCGAUCCACUGCCCUUAGGGGUGUUUGUUUCCGAUUCUAGCUGAUUCCUGCCAAAAUAAUCGAGCAAACUCCACCAAAGUUAUCCAUAAUCAAAGACCACCAUGACCUUGCGUUAAAUCCCCUUCCACCAUGCAUGGAACAAAAACGCACUCUGCUUAAAGAAGGAAAAAUAAAUUACUAACGCUAGUAACAGCAGCAUACAUAGCACCACUAGGAACAGCAUGGUUGGUCCAGUAGUAACUAAACGAGAUUAGAUCGAUCCAGACAAAACAAAGCGGUCAGACGAUGUCAACUAUAUUUGUCAAUUAUCAGUAAAUAUAUGCAGCAGUCCAGGAUUUCAGAAAAGAUCCACUUGCAAUCACAGUCGAAUUGUUAGAAUUUCUUGCUAGACGCAUCGCCUACACCAAUGUGGCGAGCAAACCACUCAAAUUUGUUUAUGAGAUCCUAGCACACAGAAAUACGUGCUAAGGCACGGUGGAGAAAAAAAGAGAUCCUAGCGUACAGAACAUCAAUCCUUCCUUUCCCUUCCUCAGAAAACAUCGUCGUUGCUCACCUUCCUGGGGUGCCGACGGGCAAGACGAAUCCUCAAUGUAUCUCCAUGUAGAACCUCUUGUGGUUCUACAUGUGCGUGUGUAGCGGCUGCACGCCGUCGCUGGCAACGAAGAACCCCUCCGCGUCUCCGCAGGGUUGCCCACAAGCUAUCGCCCCUACCUCACACUCCCCGAUGGUUUCGGCAACGUGGAGCUCCCCUACACCGUGGGACGCACCUCUUCGGUCCCGGUUGCGUCUUGACCGCUCCACAAGAGAGAAGGUGCUGGUCUAGAUGAUUAAGCUGCAGCUCGAAUCCACCGCAAGAAGCUAGCAACAACACAUGGAUCCAUCUUCUUUGCUUCUUCCGCACCAAGCACAAGCAAGUCCCUCUCUCUCCCACUUGAUUUCCCACUGCCCCUUCCUUGCAGCUGCCUCCCUCUUCGAUUCACAUCGGACAGCUUCCAUGGAGGACAACAAACAAACUUUUUUUUAAUAAUGAACAAGCAAUGCAGCAAAUUACCUCUUCAUGCUUUCCAAUCUCACGCAAGCCAGCACAAAAUCGCUCCCAACGCCGCGCUCUCUUCCUCCACAUCCUCGGCAGAUCCAUCGCCGCCCCCCCAUGGGACUCCACCUUGCGCCGCCGUAAGCCCCGCCCCCGCCGCCGUCCCUUUUGCCGGCACUUCCCGCGCUGCCGCCACCACUCCUCGCCUCCAUCGCGGCCACCAGGGAGGAUCGCAACGCCGGGAGGAGCUCUUUGCCCUCGUCUUCAAUCUCCUCGGCUCCGGCGACCGCAAGCACUGCUCCCUUAUAUGGCACUAGAUCCGUCACCGCCUCUAGCGCCUCCUUCGCCGAGGUGAGGAGGGGAGAUGACCUCCCUUUACACUCUUCCUCCUCCCCCUCUCCACGGCCGCGGCCGAGCCCAGGACGCUAGCCGCCACACCACCGAUGCUGCCGCCCGCCCGCAUGCAAUUUCCCUCCUUCGCCUCUCUGUUUGGAAGAAAGGAGAAGUUUUUUCCCUUUUAACCUCCUCCCUUCUCUCCUUUUUACUCGAGCCUCUAUCUUAUUUGAACUGCGAGUUGAUUUAUUAUUUCUUGGUGCAGUUGCAAAAUCUGCACAAUUUCCUCUUCACGUAUGGUUACCCGAUGCUAUAGAAGGACCACUCCCAUUUCGGCUCUUGUACACGCAACCAGAUUUUUCUAGCUCGACUCCUUCCGCUUUUCAUAUCCUACCCUUGAUAAUGAGUUUUAUUUACAGCUUCAGCCAAAAAAAAAGAAAAAAAAGGACCCGAGAUGCAGGCGCUGGGCCUGGGCCGCGGGUGCACCGCCCUCCACCACGCCUGCCGCUGCCGCCGCACCGCCGCUUCACCCUCUCCUCCGGCUCCCCGUUCUCGCAACGCUCCAAGGCUAAAAACCCGCAUCACCGCCGUGCGCGCUAGCGCCGCCCAGCCCGCGCAGAUGGAACGCAAGCACGGGGAGGAGCCGGUGAGGGUGGUGAAGCUACGCGCGGUGGAGGCCACGCCUGAGUCCUUCGCGCCCUUCGGGCAGGUCAUCGCCGCCUCCCCCGACGGCGACGAGUUCGGCCCCCACGACGCGCAGCUCGACCUCAGCCGCGGCAUCCCUAGGUAAACCCACGGCAUCUCCGCACGGAAUCCACUUCAAAUCGUGUCGUCCGGGCUUGGGACUUCCAGAGAUUUGAGCUUUACCUCCACCUUUCCGUCGCAGGUUCUACAUCAUGCGACUGCAGGACCGGCCGCUGGAGUUCUCGAACAUCACCCACCACGCCAGCGUGACCCAGUGCCUGGGCUCCAUCGGCGGCCAUGACUGGUACCUUGGUGUGGCCAAGCCAUCGAUCUUGGAUGGGCCGGCUGAGCAGAGUGGUCAGGAGGGGUGGAAACCGCUGCAGUCUUCCGCGGGUCACUACUAUCUGCCUCCCGAUCCAGCCGAGGUCUGCGUGUUCCGGGUUUCCGGCCCCAAGUUCCUCAAGCUGAACAAGGGGACCUGGCAUGCUGGGCCGCUGUUCAAGGCGGAUGCCGUGGAUUUCUAUAAUCUGGAGCUGGGCAACACCAACGUGAGUGCUAAAUUACUGAACUAGUAGUUCAUUGUUGCGUUGCUGAUCCUGACAGAAAAAGGGUUGCGUAUUACUACUUCCUAGUUACAUCUCUGUGGUUUUGUAGUCAAAGUGCUAAGUAGUAAGCAAGUUAUAAACCUGGAAUAUAUUCGUUUGAAAAAUAAUCGUCUAAAAAAUAAAACUGGAACAUAUAUGUUUUCCUGGAGUGUGAUAGAUUUGUAGAAAGCAAAUCCCUGGAAGUAGUCAGACUGUCAGUAACUCAGUACUAUAUACAUAACUCUCACCGAGCCUUGGCAUCAGUAGCAAUGUAGCAGUGUUUGGGAUGCAUCAUGCUGAUUAUGUUCAUAGUUUCUUUCAAAGUGGCACAUACGGUACUGUAGAUAAAUUGAGAUGGAUGUCUCUUUUUUAUAGAUGCCAUCUAGCAGUUCCUGAUGUUUUGUUUUCCUUUAUGCUGCUCACGUGAUUUACCUCUCUUCUAAGCUUUUGGGACAGUUCAGCAGGCAUUUGGAUGGUUUUGCAUUUCUGUACUAUGUUCACUUAACUUCCUACCUGGUUUUUCAGACUUGAUGUAUGUGCUCUAAAUAACUUAUGCAAAUCUCAUACGUUAAUAACCUGUGCAAGUAACAUUGGAUUUGGCAGAUUGGUUAAUAAAUCAAUAUAACGAAAAAUAGCUCCUGUUAACUAUGCUUGGUUCUGUUCAUUUCUCAUUUAUUAGCAUGUCAAGUAAUUGUAUCAUAAUUAUUAAAGCCUUCACUUUGUUCAUACCGUAAUAUAAUGUGGUAACGUCAUAAUUAUGAUCAUGUUAUCAAAGUGAAUUAUUGUCUGCUGGUAUAUGCCAGUCCUAGAUUGCUUGUGUUUCUGGAGUUGAAAUUCUGAACUAUUCUGAUGGCAAAGGACUGAUGAUCUAGAACCUGAUUUGAAUUAUUGUUUGCUGAAGUUGGUACAUAAGUACCACAACCAAGGGUUUUGAACAGCAAACUUUCUGGCAAGUUGCAGGAUAAUUCGGCUGUUCUUUUGGACUAAAAUAUCCUCAUUACUAAUAGGUUUACCAAUUUCUGCCAAGGAUGUGAAAUCCUUAUGAUAUGAAAUGAAAUGGUGUGGCUUUACUGUUCCAUUGUUUUGUGGAUAAAUUCGUCGCAUUGCAUGCCACUGAUUGUUUAUUGACACAACGGUGAAUUUACUGUUCCAUUACAUCUGAAGUUGAGCAUAGGAAGUGGCAUUUGCUUCACCUAGCUGCACUUGUGCCUUUGCAGGUUGUUGAUCACACUACACACCGUUUCAAGGAACAUGACGGGAUAACCUUUGUGGUCGAGGACUGAAAGACAUCUUGCAGUGUGUGCGGACGUUGUUGAGCAGCAGAUACGAGUUUACAAGACCGCUCACUGAUCUUAUCUUCAAAACUACUACUUUGUAAUGAAGAACCAACUUGUAAAUGUUAUGUAGAAAGUAGAAACGCACGCCUGAGGUGCCUGUUCGAACUUGUGCCUUGUGUUUCUGUCAGCACCAAAAUGAAACGCAAAACUCCACAUCCGCCUUAGGGCGUGUUCAGAUGCUUGACUAAAGUUUAGCUCUUAUCAUAUCGAAUGUUUGAUAUUAAUUAGGAAGACUAAACAUGAGUUAAUUAUAAAACUAAUUGCAGAAGUUAUAAGCUAAUUAUAAAAUUAAUUGCAGGAGCUUUGGGCUAAUUCGCGAGAUGAAUCUAUUAAGCCUAAUUAAUCCAUCAUCAGCAAUGGUUACUGUAGCAUCACAUUCUCAAAUCAUGGACUAAUUAGGUUUAAUAGAUUCGUCUCACGAAUUAGUCUCCAUUUGUACAAUUAGUUUUGUAAUUAGCUUAUAUUUAAUACUCUUAAUUAAUAUCCAAAUAUGAAUGGAACUGAGACUUCUCGGAAAUGAUUACUCGUAUCUGCCAAUGAUGUUGCCACCACAAAGAAUGGACUGGGUAGACGGUAUCUUUCCUGAUAUCGAGAACCGGUUGCCAUGCUGAGCUCAAUCUUCAGCAACAACAGCGACGCACAAACUUGAGAAGGAAAGCCCCGCAAAAUCGACGCGCAGCAUGCUGAUGGGAGCAUGGCCGGACAGAGCAGAGACGCUGGCCAAACCUCACCGGGCACCUCAGCCUCCGCCAACCACGGCAAGUCACACCAACAUCACCUCUUGCACACAUGACGACGCUGAUAAGAUUGCCCCCGCGCCAAUAAUUGGUCGCGCACGGUUGCGCCUGUGCCGAUUUGCCCGUCGUGGGCUCGUGGCACCGAAGGCCGCGCAGACGAUGCGACGGCCGACGAGGAUAGCGCCGCGCGGCCACGCCCCGGGCAUAAGCAUGUGUGCCCUUGGAUUCUCUUCGCGGCACUUGUCAGUUUGCCACGUUGCCACGCCUCCCUACGCACGCUCGAUAUGCAGGUGGACACGACUGCCCUCGGGCAUGCGUAUCCGCCCGGCCGUCGCCGCAAUAGCGCACGGCCGGCUGCGCUUUGGUCAGAGCAAGAAUACCAGCGCCCAUGCCUAUGCUAGCACGCGCUGGCCGAUUCCAAUUGGCCGCCGCUUAAUUAAUCUGGCUACGAUCCUCAUUAAAACAAUUGAUUAACUAGCACAAGGAGGAGGAGUAUACAAUAAGCCGGGGCACACGCGAAAGCAAUCGGCGGCCGAGGAGGAAAAGCGCGCGGCAGGAGGCGGCCCCGCCCGCCCGGGCCGGACGCCGAUCCGGCCCCGUGUCCGUUGGGUUGGCGCAACCCGACCAAACAACCGCCCCGCCUUUUUGGCCAGCCGUUCGGCGCCCUCCGCUCCCAAGUCCCUCCCUCCCCACUCGCCCCACGUCUCCUCUGUCGCUGCGAUCGGGAGGAGGGAAAAGCGGAUGAUGCUCCAGCGAAGCGAGCAGCAGCGUCGCCUCGGCCUCGCCAUGGAGAGGCCUCUCGACAGCUACUCCUCCGUCAAGGACGUCACCUACAGGUUCGUUCGAUGCUUCCACGAUCCCAGUUUCUCCUGCCGCUUGCUUCUGAACUUCUCUGCGCUCUGGGUCAGAAAACUUGGAGUCUGUUCUUGACCCUCACUAGGAUAUAUAUAGAAGUACCGAGAUCAAGUACCGAGAUCACUGCGCCUUACUGCUAAUCUGCUAUUCGUUCUCUUUGUAUUUUUUUUUUGGAUUCGCUGUGCAGUUCACCACUGAUUUACUGUGUGAUUGCUGCUUGGAAUAGUCCCGGUUCUUAUGCCCGGUUUGAUGGCGAAUUGGUCCCAAUCAUUUUCCUUCUCCCGAUAUUGGCCACUUCACGCAUGCUAUGGAGGUCCCAAAUCCCAAUUCGUACUGAAACACAGCCAUCCCAGCCUCAGUGUCUCACUCUUAACGCCUUACUUAAGGGCUAAGGUUUUUCUCGAACGCUUAAGGACUAAGGUUUUGAUUAGGGUAAACUUGAAAAUACAACCGCCGAAUUCCUUGCACAAGUGACACAUGUUCGCGUCCCAGCAUUCUUGUUCUCUGCACCUGCGUAACUGCCGUGUGGUUUUCCUUACUGGCAACAUGUCACUCUGUCACUGGCAGCUGCGGGUACUGCGGCUACGCGCUGAACCUGAGCUCCUCGGCGCGGGACACGGCGGGCAUCGGCUCCAAGUACCGCAAGCAGAUCAAGAAGGGCGUCGUCGCCUUCGUCGCCGUCGACGAGAGCCGCUUCACGCUCGCCGACGAGGUCGCCUGCAUGCCCUACUUCCGCUCCAGCCGCGCGUGGGGCCUCUUCAGGAGGCGGUCGCGCCUGCUCUGCCGCAAGUGCGGCGGCCGCAUCGGCGACGCCUACGAGGACGAAGACAGGGACUCCGGCCUCAGCGACGGCGACGCCUUCUCGGAUGACCUGCGCGCGAGCUCCGGCUCGGGCGGCAGCAGCGCGUCGAGCCAGAGGAACUACGUGAUCAAGAUCAGCGCGCUGCAGCCGUCGUCGGAGGAUUCUGAUGCUGUUUCCUUCACACUAUGAUGAAGAUGGCGCCGGGUUGCUGCAGGGUGCUCUUCUUCCAGCUUGGUUGAAUUCGAAUUUGGUGCAAUCUGGGAUGUGAAUUUGUGAGUGCAGGAGAAGAUACAGCAAGAAAGAGCUUGGCACAGCUAAGAAUUUUUCAGAGGGUAACCAUCUGCAUGCUGCUUUCAGACGUCUUGCUGUCUGUAGUGCUUUCCAUUUCCUCUGCACAUUUGUGAAAUGUACAGCGACAUGAUGGUUGUUGAAUUUUGCUUGGUAUUAGGAAGUGGUUAGGUUUUCUAUGCGCCAGUUGAUCCCAUAGAAUUUGUUUGUACUGUGUCAUGACUCAUGAUUCACCACGGUUGCAAUUUUGAGUAGUGUUGCUUCAUGUGUCAACUGUUAAGAUUUUUUGCUUUAUAGUUAUUUUGGGUUCUGGAAAAGGCGAGGAUUAGUACAAAUGAUAUAAUCUACUAAGCAGUAUUUGAGUUUUACUGCGGCGUCAGAAUUAUAGAAUCAGAUUUGUUGCCCUCGAACAAACAUGCAACUUAUAUGCACCAGCACCCUGAAAAUUAGGACUUGGGAUGGAGUUUGGACUUGAUAUUUUGUAUGGCAUCAUGUUGAAGCCUCAUGAAUGGACGGUGGGUUUCUCAAGAUUUUUGAAAAGUUCUAAAGUAUUUCUGUUGGAGCUUUCUAGUGUCCAACACUUGCUGGUUUUCAUCGCAUACGUUCCCUGGAAGCAUAUGCAGUCAGGGGCUAAGGGCCAGAUGCCCAGGUGGGUUCAUACAAGUAGUGCCUCAGUUGGAUCACAUGGUGAUGAUCGCCAUAAGAACAUAGAAACGCAAAAAAUGUUAUACAACUAGCAGAAAGGCAAUUAUAUUCUUAAGCAGAUUCUAAGAUUGAAGGUUGACACUGCUAAAAAUCAUUAUCAUAUACAGAGGAGCUCUUUAGCUUCUUCAGUACAAAUCUCAGGUAUCCCUAUUUGCUAAAACACAUACAUACAUUCAAUCGAGAUAAUUGAAUAAUAUGUUGUAACAAUCAAAUCAAAUGAAAAAGAAUUUGAAAAACAUAAAAUCUGACUGUGAUAGUUUACAUUGUAAUUUUGCUUCAAGUGGCUAUUGUGUUGGCAUUGGUUUAUUCUUCAAAAAGUGUCUGAACAUUAUCAAAGCUUGUCGAGGCCGGUGCAGCGGGACUUCAUGUCCUGCACCUGCUAUAGUUACGAGAGUUAAUCCUUUGUAAACUUGACUCCAACCUCCAACCUGCAACAUUAGAUGAAUUAAUGACCAGUAUCAGCUUGUAAUAUUUAUUCUGCUCCAAAAUUUGCUUAAUAGAGUAAAAUGGUCUUGUAACUGACCUUCCCAUGGUCAUACCAAGGGUACCAAUUUACUAGUGUUGGAAGCUUGAGAGCAUCGAUCGAGUACCUUGUUGCAGUUACAGGAACUACAGCAUCUGUAUCCCCACUGUGAAGCAUAAAAAGGGAAACAAAGGUAAGUUAACCAUUCAAUGCAGCCCAUGAUUACGUAAAGCAUUAUUCUGCAACUAUGAGAACUUGAUUUCAAGACAUGUUUGAAGGUUGUUUCCCCCCUGAAGAGAGACAGGUUGUUUUUCUGCAACUAUGAGAUUUUUUUCAUCCCUCUGACUUCCUUUGAAUGAGUUAAAAUGUUCGGAGAAAAUAUCCAUUUAUACCAUAGUCCAAUGCCCGUAUAAAAUGGUAAACAAUACUGCAAUUACAGAACAUGAAAGCACCUAUAUACAUGUUUUACAGAGUAUAUUUAAUGAUAUCACUUACAUUGAAGUGUUUAACUGACUAAAACAUUUACCAGAUAUGAGUGCACCCAGUAAAUCACUCUGUAAUGCAAAAUAAUACAAGAGACGCUGAAAGUUCUGUUACUCACCUGAAAACCCAUAUCUUCAUACCAGCUGCUAUCAGUUCUUGGUAGAUUGGAAGCAUGGAUCUUGGGGAAUCUGCCCAAUAGGUUCCAACUAUAUCGCUGUGACAGAGAGAGUAAAUGAGUUUGCUUGUUCGAAAAAGGAAAAAUAUGGGAUAUUUUGUCAACUACAAUCAUUAUAACCUGCAUGUUUGCCAUGGGUAAUGAAUUCCGGUUGUAUUUGCAUGUAAUGCCAUCUGCACUUCUGGCCGAUUGUAGUAAAUGCUUGCGUAUCUUUCGGUGCAAGGAUCAUAGGCUCUAGACAACCAAGGCUGUGGAUGGAAACAUGUCACUAGACAUAGAAAACAAAGGAUCCAAACAUCCUCUUUGAUACAAAUACACAGUGAAUCAAUUAUAGAAAAAAGUUAAUAAUAAACGGGAAAAAAACAAACAUAACUUCAUGCACGAUAGAAGUUUGCAUAAAUAUAUUCAAUGUAUGUAAAAUGGCCCACACUCUUGCAUUCUUAUUCAAGAAGUGCCAGAUGCCACACUUUUUUUUGAAGGUUGAUGCCACAGUUUAAUAAUUGCACUGUGUCUUUGUCCAUAAAUGCAAACGUGUCCGAAGUAAAUCAGGAAUCACAAGCCGUAUAUUUCCUUGUGAUUGGCUGUUGCCAAUAAAAUGUUUGCCUUGUGUUGGGCCUGUAACUCUUUUGCUUACUCUUUUAUGAACCACUAAAGCUCAACUAACAGUGAAGCAAUGGGUUGACAGCAAACUAAUUCAGUUUAGUUUCUUGUUAAUUUGAUAUAUAAAUUGGAGUUACUACAUCAUAUUGAAGUAAUUGCGUCCAUGCUUGAUCAUCUGGUAGUUACAGUAAGCAUCUGGCGAUUGAUAUUGCAUUGCUCUUUGCUGAGUUCAAAUAAUAUCUUAAAAGCAAAUGGAAUCACUAAAUUUCAGCAAUUAAGAAAUGGAAGUCUGGAAAUAGAUUUGUGAAACAAUAUUGCAGUUGGAUUACUUGAUGGAAUUAUGAAAAUCCAAAAAAGAAAAGGCACUUACGUAGCGUCCACCCAAGCUAACUUUGAGAGAGGCUGUGUAAUUGCAUGGCUUUGUAUUCAAACUAUAAGGAUCGAUAUUGCCUUCUUCAGCACUGGCUAGAUUCAGGUUCUUGACACAGUCGGGAGAAGGGUGCUGUGAGGAUUCAAGCAAGCAUGUUGCCUUCAAGUUGUGAUAAGUUUUGUCAGAGAUCAGACCAUGAGUCCACCAAUACUCAAACGUGCCGAGGUAGUCAUGGUAGUCAUCAGUAACCGCAUUCCCCACCUUAAUUUUCAGGAAUCACUAAACUUCAGAAACCAGCAUAAAUAAACAAGAACUAGUACAACCAAAAAAAGGCUUAAAAGGUGUACCAUAAAUCCUUUUAAAUUAAUCGUGGGAUUCUGAAUGCCCUUGUUCUUUUCAUAUAUGAGCUGGGCUAAUUGAGGAACAUAAUGUCCUGCAAAGUGCAAACAUCAGAGCACGCAAUUGAAUCUUUAUGGAGCUAGCCAAAACAGAAUUCAGAACUUCUCCCACAGAAGCUUUACCUGCAUAACUUUCUCCAGCGAUAUAGAACUCCCUGUACUUGUACUGUGGGAAUCUCUCCAACCAAUUCACGAGAAAAGCAUAGGCAUCCAGUGCUACAAGACAAAUGCAAGUACAAGAGUUUGGUACCUGAAUUUCUUGAUCGACGAAGGAAAGUGAGCCGCUCGCGCAGUAAUGGCCAUGGUUCAGUUUUACCUGUCUUUGCGUCUCCUGCGGUGUACAGAUCCAGCGACGAAUUCGAGUAGGAGAACCCCACGCCGGCCGGCGACUCCAGGAAGAGCAAAUUGGCCGCUGCAUUCACACCCCGACACAAAUCAGCCUCUGCCAACACCAGCAUUGCAGGAACAUCGCUUGCUCUAUGAAUUGGGAGUCAAACGGAGCUCAACAACAUGUACCCACCCUUGUUCCAAGAAUUGGGGUUGAGGUAGAGCGUCUGGCCGUCGGGCCUGAUGCGGAACGGGCCGACCUCCUCGGACGCGCCGUAGCCGACCGACGAGCACCCGGGCCCGCCGUUCAGCCAGAGGACGAGCGGCGCGAUGGGCCCCGCCGCCGGCACCGCCUCUACGAGCCAGUAGAAGAGGGCGCGCCCCCGCGCCGGGUUCACCGUGACGUACCCAGAGUACUGCGAGAACUCCACGUUGGGCGGCUGCCCCGGGAGCUCCCGGAUCCGGUCGCUCUCCCUCUCCUGGUCGGCGGUGGCCACGGCCGCCGCUACUACCACUGAGACCACCAGCAGCGGCACCAAAGCGUGAGCCAUUGCCAUUGGGGACCAGCUCCAGCGGCUGCUGGGCAGAGGCAAGCUGCCAGUGCAGCUCCCACCGGGAGAGAUCUUUAAGGCACUGGAGACUGGAGAGCGGAAGCAGCGGAGCUGAGCCUGCACCCAGCAAGCACAGUGCUCUGCACUUGCCCAGUACGCAACGGCACUCCAGCUACUGCUUCAGCUGCUGUUGCUGACCAGGGAGAUUGCUCGCCCUGUCGCCUUGAUUUGAGUGGGGAUUUUCGGUCCGCACGCCACCCUCCGCCACUCCCAUUGACCAAGGACAGCUCAGGAGCCCCGAGCGGUUGUCCCCUUGAAGCGUCAAAGGGAGGAGGAGGCAGCUGACCUCAUCCGCUGGCUCUGCUCUGACCCUCCGGCCGGCAAAGGCGGUGGUUCCGGGAAAAAGUACAAGGCGAAUGUGCCGAGAUUUCCUCACCCGCCCCCGAUGAUUGAUUGGCACGGGUACAGCUCAGGCGCCGGGGGGCAAAAGCGCCGGAUCAGAUCGCGCGGCCGUACCUGCCCUGGCCGAGCCCGAGCGCGGCGCGCCUCCCGGAGGAAAAACUCGCAGGAUGAUUAGGCGGCGUCCACACCCGCGUGCUGCUAGGUGCUGCUGCUACAGCGAGGCGCACAGCGCGGCAAGUGCGGUGUCGGAGCGCGUCGUAGUAGUGGCGGGGUGGUGGACUGGUGGUGCGCGUGGGAGAGAAGAGCAGGGCCGAGCCGAGCCGAGCUGGGUGCCGUGGGGGAGGGCCGCGGGGCGGCGGACGCGGCUGGCACAUGGGGCUGGGGGUUGGAGGGAAACCGGGCGGGACUCGGGAGGCGGCUGAAAAUUCGCGGGGGGCGCAUCGGUAUCGCAUCUGCUAGGCGGGGCGGCAGCGGCGUCCGUCGCCAAUCACCAUGUCGUCGCGUGCGCACGCGUGAACGUGGAAGCUGGGAAAGGGGGGGCGAGCAAAGGUAAACUAAUCCCAAACCAAACCGAACACGCGGGCUGCUGAAGUUGAACAACGUGAGGGAUCGUGAGCUGUUUGUCUCGUCCGACUCGCCCGAGGCAGGUGGUGUGCUCCACAACACAGUUUGUGUAGACAGGAAAGGAAGGAUAGCUUCACGGCUUCAGGCGGCGAUGGGUAUCUGAUUACCCGGAGGCCGGGGGCAGCAACGUAGGAUGAUGAUGAUGCAAGCCACGAAGCCAGGCGUUGGAGACUGCGAUGGUGUCGAGGAGCAGCGGUCUCGCCUUGCCCGAAAAGAAUUACACGGACUGGACUGCCCGCAUCAUUGCAUCAGUCAGAAAGCAACGAUUGUUUUAAGGGAGGCCCACGCUAGAUAUUUAACAGUAUACUUGUUCACCUUUCGAACUACUUAAGGGCGGCCAUGUGGACUGAAAAUAGUCCACAGGCAAUAUAUUAUUCCAUUAACCUUCCCAACACCAUUGUGCAAGCGGUCCGUAAGAAGAAGAUAACAAAAUUACUCAUAGCAUCGUGGGCAGCCCAUAGACAUUAUAAAAUUAUACUUGUACAGUACCAUUGAGUAAACAAAUAAAAUCAGCCAACCAGAAAUCGUGGAGGAUCUUUUUCUAUCUGAUGGGAAUCUUCUUAUUUCCUAACAUAAAGGCUGCCUGCUGUGGUACUGGUUUGCCAAAAACAUUGUGGUUGCCCUUAGAGGAUUCCAGCCUUCGUACUGUACCAGGCUCUCAGAGCAGAGAGCACGCAAAUGGUGGCCGGUGGACCCCAUUUCGCUAAGUGUACCCUACCACGGCAAAGCCUCCGAGGCUGCUCCGUUCGGGCAAUCGGGCGAUGUAAGGCCUCCUCCAAUGAUGCCAGGUCAGCUAGCUUAUAAAAUAAUAUUUUGUCUAGGUGAAAGAUGGUGAAAGAAAGGAGAAAGAAGAGUUAUCUCUUAUCAAGAGAUAAUCUCGUACACAUAUUUCAAGAUUACGUGAGGCUAACUAUAUGCCAAGAGUUGGAUUAUUGGAUAAGUUGUCUCUCAUACAUUUUUUUAUUGUUAUGAGCAGUAGUUGACUCUAACUGAGGAGGUCUAAGUAGCAUGUUGACGUGUCGACGAAUCAGACAGGAACCAAGAAGAUGCGGGACUGUUACUAAUCGAACUGACUCAUUUGUGGAGAUCUCUAAGAAAGACAACAGCACUGGGAUAGUCUUUUGCACGCACGUGUUGGAUGACUCAUUUGUGAAGAUCUCUAAGAAAGACAACAGUACUGGGAUAGUCUUUUACGCACACAUGCUGUAUGCUAAGGUAUCAGCGGCAAAAUUUCUUUCAGAACUACUGUACUGCUUAUGUUCAGAAUGUUACGUUCUGCAACAUUCACUUGCAAACAAAUAAGUCUAGUACUAUAUGGAUCAGUUUGAUGCAAAAAGUUCCAUUAGUGAAAAAAAAUGCGUUAGAUGCAUCAUGUGUUAGUAUUCUUCCCGAUUGGUAAGUGGAGGGAGAAGGGAAGCCUGGAAUGCUCUUUCCUGAUUUAACUUCACUCAAAACAAUUGUGAUCGACCAGAAGUGAGGCGAUGUGGGAUGUACAGUCACAUUUUUCUUCUCCGAACACACAACUAUUAUUGAAUUAAUAGAAGAAAAGAGUUUUAUAAACACACAUUUUAGAAGCAAUUUACAUGUAUAGGUGUUUAAAACAUAGUAUUUUUCCAACCUCUAAUUUUGUCCUUAAUGAAUAUACUAAAUCGUAUAUUCGACAUGUUAGUAGCAUAACUAAAGUAUACUAUAAAAUAAUACCAAAUUUAUAGCCAAAUAACUCAUAAAGAGAUGUAUACAAACUAAGGUCGACCAACGUACAAUUGACGACCAAACUUUCCUUAAAGAAUCGACUUCUCCAAUAGAAUUAUUUGUAUAUAUGAAAUCAGGCUUAAAGAUGGCAAUUUAAUUGUAGGUUCAAGACGGGAAUCAUACACCCAAGAGUAAUUAAUAGAUUUGUUCCCCUAAUUUACUAUGGUGGGGGCUUGUGCCCCCUAUUCCUUGAGUAUUGUGAUUGAGUAGACUUUAAAAAAGGUGGUGAAAGAAUAAAAUAGAAUAACAACCUAUGAAUAUAUAGGAAUCACACAUAGUGAAUAUAUAGAAAUAACACCAAAUGUAGUGUUUUUGCAGAUACAGUAAAUACCAGCUCAAUAUAAAACCUGAAACACACCACCAUUCACGUGCCCACCAAACCUAAUCGAUGGUAUUUUUCACACGGGGGCAUAUCAAGCCUAUUCUCGAAACAACAAUUACCCAUACCUAGUAGCGCGUGGAACAUGUGGGUACCCGCACAUAUGGGUCCAAUUGUCAUCCCUAUAAAUGAGAUGAAAAUGUAGAAGAAAAUUGUGAAAUUAUUUAUAUAUGCAUUGGAUCACUAAAAAUAUAAGCAAAAUAUAUUAGUGUGAUACUUAGCCAUGACAGUCAAACACUUCAUGUGAAAAAUAUCGGAACUUAUAAAAGUUACCAGGCUUGCAAGUGGGUUUCUACAUAUUUUUCCUCUAAUAAUGAGAUGUAGGGACAUUUUGCAAGGGUUUAGUUUCGAGGAAACAUUUCUGGAGAUAAAAUGGUUAUAAUUAUCCUGAGAAAUGUCUUGUAUCCGGUAGGAUAAGAGAAACAUUUCUGGUUGUCUAUUGUCUCUAAAUCCCUGAAUUGCUUGGUAGUGAUUUUUCCAUUCUCUCCGUAGUCAAAUUUUGUUUGGUGCAGCUGUGUUGAUGUCCCAAUUCAACUGACUGAGUUUGUAGUUGUUAUUUUAGUAGCCUCUUAGGGUUAUAAUCAUAUAUUAUCUUCUGCUAUAUCAAUAGAAAUUUGCAUUGUCUUGUGAUGAGGUUCGUUCAAAAAAAUUGUUUGGUAAGAAUCCUUCUAUUUAUAUGAGAGAAUCACGUUGCAUAAUCCCCACCAAACGGCCCAUAGUAUCCGCAUUGCAGUGCAACUCAUAGGACGCAGCAUUUGGUCUGUUUAAAAGUACACCAUCCUCAAUGCUGCAACGUUUGAGUCACAAAAUCUGCAGGAGUUUGGAGUCUGAAACUGGCUGACAAAAAACAGAGCGCAAACUACAUGUUUGGAAGUAGCUUUGACACGCGAUGUACUACUAUUGUUCAAGAUCUUUUGCUUUCAAGUACUACAGGCUAGAGCGACGGAAGUCGGAAGCUACUACUAUUCCCUCCGUAUAUUUUUAUAAGACGUACGCGUAUAUCAAGAUUCAAACUUUGUUAUUUUUGACCAAUAAUUUAACCAAUAAAUUUUUAUUUUUAUAAUGCAAAUUGAUUGGAUUUGUAAUCAAAUGUACUUCCCAAUGACUCUAAAUUUAUAAAACCAUAAAUAAUAUAAGACAAGAUAAAUUAAUGAUAAAAGUGUAAUUUGUAACAUUUUGCCAAUAGAUCAUAUCACACCUUAUAAAAAUAUAAAAAUAAAAUGGAGGGAGUACACUAGAGGACCGGCGAUCAACUUGCCAGGUCCGAUUCUGGUUCGAUGGCAGAGCGGAGUCCCUGACGAACCAUCAUCUGCGCGUAGAACUCGGCGUGCUCCUGUCCAGGCAUCGAAGUACACCGUUUAAGCAAUAAUUCCUUGUGGCUAUAGAAACUAGACUAGAUCGAAGCUCUAUAGACCUUUUGCAUUUCAAAUAGUAUCAGGCGGGUGCGAUAAGAGUUGAGUAUUAACAGAUACCUUGACGGCGACGAUGACAAGCGCGACGCCUUUCAGGCGAGACUCGUGGAAGAGCUGCCGCGCAGCUUCCGCGGUAAUGGAUGGCACCACCUGCGGCAAGGCCUUCUCCACUGCACAGUCGGGCACGACGCACGACGACAGUCGACAGCAGACGUGAGUCACAGGCUCGGGAAACUUGCUUGGGAUAUCCAGAACGUGCUGUGCUGGUGGGUUUGUUUCGAGCGAGUACAGCAGUGUGCUUACCGUGCUUCUCGGUGUGGCGCACGUCGUCCACGAGCAAGACCUUGUAGCUGUCGCCGCUUCCGGAGCGCCUCCCAUCCCUGAGCCUCCCGGGGUCCCCUCCUUCCUGCGUGACGGGGAGCGUGUCGAGCUGGGACUGGUCAAACGCUGGCCGCUCCAGCACCGCGCCGCCGCCGCCGCUCGCAUGCGGCGCCGCGACAACACCCGCCGUCGCCUUCUUCCGAUGCCGGGCUCUCAGGUUCACGGAGACGGUGGAGGGGAGCGGGGUGGUGGUGGUGGUUGUGGCAGUGCUCGGGAAGACGAGCGCGGUGCACGCGGCUGCUCGGCCGCUGAUGGCCAUUGCCAAUGUCAAGACUCGAAACCAGGAUAAGCCCUCGGCGUUUGGGAAACUGGCGGCGAUAAGGUUGAGCGUGAUUGCGUGAAGCAAUGCAGGGAUUGCAGGCAGCCAAAGGCACAAAGUAGAAAGCUUCUUCUUGCUCGGGGGAGAAGCAGGUGGUCUUGCUUGGCAAUGUCGAGAUUUAUUCAGGGUUCAACUAAACAUAGUGCCAAAAACGGCAGGUGGACCGUUUGAGAAAACUCUAGAUCCUGUGUGUAGCACCGGUGAAACUGGAAUUAUUCUCCCCUCGCUCUCCGCGGUACAAGUACUGCAAGUGUACAAAAACCACACCACAAAACAAGGGCAAGACGCUGAUGUCUGAAUGGCCACCAGUUUGCCAGGAGUCCAGGACCAUACAGCACCACAUUGGCUAAAAAGCCGGUCGGAGACGAACAAGACUGGGUGAGUUUCUGGUCAUGGAAAGUUCCAGAACCAAACGUAGUGGAGCCGUUCCCUCCGAACAAGUGCAAACCGUUUGGCAUAACCAAAAAUCAGGGACCACAAUGGCAAUUGCAGCUUCGUAACGACUCUCCAGGGUUCCAACUGAGAAGAAACAGCAGCAUAGAACGGAGGAGAAAAUCAAUUUCUUUCUCAAGAAAAGAAAGGAAAAUUUAUAAUCUUUGUGUUCCAGUUAACAUACCACCACGGUGCAACAUUUUGCAGCAAGUAGAUACAAAAAUGAUUUAUAUAUAACAAACUUUUAUGCACAUUACGGCUGCCCAAGGGUUACAGCCGAAAUUUCUAGCUUCUAUAAACUAUUAAUUCUGCGCAAUUACACCAGACAAAUUGACUUCAGGUUUGGAAGGCGAACUUCCCUCAGCCUCAGAUCACCAAGUAAUUAUCAGUAACCAAUUGAAUCCUCUCUGAAAACUUUGGAGGGCUACCUUCCCUUAGCGGAAGAAUAGCGGUAACCUGAAACAGUGAUUUGCAAAAAAAAACCACAAGAAUUAUAAAUUGUAUGUAGGGGAAGAAAAUAAAUUCAGGAAUUAUACUUUCAUAGUUUAUCAAGUUAACAGUUGGUAAAAAAAUGACAGUGAACCAUCAGGACACUGUAUUGUACAAAGCGGGGUGUAAUAUUUGCUAAAACAUUUAGAGCAAAGUGGUAGGGGUCAUUAUUUUUCCUAUUUUUUAAGAAUCGGUAAGUGGAUCUUUGUUUGGUGCUUAAACAAUAAAUUCAACCUCCUCAGACCAAAUUGGAUGCUAAGGACCAGAGCAUUAUUUGAGUUGUAUAGGUUAUGCACUUAUGCAGUACUUCCUCCGUCCCAAAUUAUAGGUCGUUUUGACUUUUCUAGAUGCACAGAUAUUAUUAUGCAUCUAGACAUAGGGUAUAUCUAAGCGCGUAACAAAGCCUAUGAAUUAAAAAAGCCAAAACGAUCUAUAAUUUGGGAUAGGAGAGAGUAUUAAGCAUUGCAAAGCAAUCAGGGAUCUGGUGUAAGGUAAGGAAGAGUUUCUGGUGCUAUUUUAUGGCAUAUUGAGUGAGAGUGGGUACAGUACCCCACGGUUUUGCCGUAAAGCAAACAAACACUGAACUCAUAGAGCUAAUGAAACUAUGCAGCCAACAAAACAACAAGUGACAUUCUAUACUCUUAAGGUGUAAUUCUAAACUAACCGACUGCCUCCCCAAAUUUUCUCUCAUUAUACUCCUACUCAUUCUUCAUCAGUAAGCUCAUAUUUCAGAAGCAGGUAGAUGUUCUCGGAAACAAGAAACAACCAACCUUCAAAUCACUGAAGGUGCUUGACGCAGAAAAAACAACCGAGAUGGGGAAAAAUGUUGAUGGGUCAGCUGCAGGAACAGCAAAUUCCAUAGAACCACUGAAAAUGAAGUGACAUCAAGCAUUAACAACAGUGUUGGGGACAAAAUGCAUGAAAUAAAAAAUAAUGAGUUAGCAUAUGCGCCAUGUACCUGCGGUUGGAUUGAUCAAUAAGAGUAAUUGACCAUUCCAUCACUGAGUUUCUUGAGUCAUACCUGCACGCAACAAAAGAAAGAGAAAAGUUAAUAUAUGCAACUAGAGACCAGCUGGAUGGGCGAACAAAGAGACCAUCUGAGUGCUGAGAUAAAUUUUAAUCCAACAGGUGCACUUUUAAAGAGGCAAACUUUGAAUUGUAACACUUCUAAAAGGAAUUAUUAUGAUGCAUUAAGUAUGAAAUAUUAACUUAUGGUAAACAGAGGCUAGAGACUGUUUUGUGGACCUGAGUAUUCAAUCAGCAAAAAAUUACUUAUACAAAUUACAAAUAGGCCUAGACCUGCAUUCCAAUUUCUUGUAAAGCAAACAGCUUCACCUUUUUCUGUAACCUCAACUCCAUGUUCGCACCCAAAGGCUUGUUGGAUAUGUUUUCUUUCAGAUGCACAGUUUAACUUACAACUCUUAGCAUUAUUUGGGUUGGCACAGGUUAUUCUUGGGACAUACACAUUACCAGAGUAUUUAAAACAGGAACAUGAAGGUUUUGAAACAUACUUCCAUUCUCCAUCUAUCUGUCUAACACUUGGAGCUUCCCUGAGUGCAGGCAGAGGUAUAGAAAUGACAACAUUGUGUAAAUCAAACAUCUCAGAAGCUUCAUACUCAAUGUUCACAUAUGUUUCAUUUCCAGAGACUGAAGGCCAGCAAUUGACUGCAAGUGGCAAAAAUAGGUUACACAAGUCUAAAUUUGCAAUUAAUUUUAGCAAACAAUUGAAACACACCUGAUAAUGGCAGAGAUGACUCAUCCAACUCCUGGAUUCUCCACUUCACAAAAGGGGUUUCAUUAUGACCACUGGGGAAAGGCCUGUUUGGAUCUUUUGCCCCAACAAUUUGCUGACUAUUGAACAGCUCUUUGUUAAUAUAAGGGUGUGUCUUGAAGCUAAGUCCAGGUAGAUCUUGAUUCUCAAUCUGUAAAGCACACAAAUAUAGUAUGUUCCACCAAUUAAAAAAACUUUAUUAAUUGGAAAAAUAAUGUUAACCAAAACACAGCCUUGGAAGCAGGUAAUAGUGAUCAUAUUCAUGAUGUUUACGAUAGCAGGGAUACACAACAAGUUUCAAAUAAAAUUAAAAGAAUCUCAAGGCAUAUGGCAGAAACAGUGCGAUUUCUGCAACAAACAUUUGUAUAUCAUAUAAUUAGGAAGAAAAAAAGAGAGCUUCAGCAAUUAAUCAAGCGAAGAAUGUAACUACCAUAAAUUAAAUAGUUUUUUAUAUUAGAAGCACAGAUAUAUGGAAAGUAGUGUAGUAGAGCAACACUUGACAAGAGACUCGUAUUGGGCCAGAUAAAUCAGACAGGAACGGAUUGAGUGGUAGACAUCAGUAUGACAAGAGGCUUUUUUAUGCUUGACUCUGAAACUUUUCUAAGGAAAAAAAAACAAAGUAUUGAACACGAAUCAAAGGUCCAGAAAACAAAUAUAGAAAAUGACCUGCAACUGGAUAAAACCAUUGGUAUCAUUCAGAACUUGAAGAGCAAGGGUUCCUUGAACAUCAAAAUUAUGAAUCCCACCAUCUCUUUUAACAGUGACAUUGAUCUUUUCUUCAAUUGCCACUGCGAUAGGAUCACUUGGUGGGACAGAUGACAGCCUCGACUGAAUUCCACUUGGUCGGGUGUCCUCCGAAAUGAGUUCUCCUUCAGCUUUCAGAGAUUCUAGGAACUGAUUUGUCUUCCUUGCCUUGCCCAAUUUCAUACCACCAGCCACUUUACUAGUAGCAGGAGUAGAAGCAGAAGGGAGCCCUGUACAAAUGCCACAAGUAAUCAACAUAAAAUAAUAGCUGCUCGUAAUAGAGGCAUUCAUUAGUGAGGAUUCCUUUCCAAAAUCCACUUGAAAGCUGAGAGCUUAAAUUCGCCUGAAAGUUCUGUGGUGGAUUUGAGAAUUCACACCAAAAUUUUUUGAAAGAUACAAAAUUCACAAUCCACUAUCAUCAAUUCUCAACAAUGCAAUCAGAACUACUAUAUAACCAUUAACACCAGUAAUAAAAUUAAUUAAUGGCGUCAGAAUUUCCACAUAUGCGUUUGCUUGGGUACUAACCUUUGGGCUUUUGAGCGAAUGAGUCAGCAAAUAUAGGAUCACCUCCUAGACCAGUGCCUCUCGUGUUCAUGUCACUAAAACCAUUUGGAGGCCUCAGGGGACCAAAUGCUUUUUCAGUCUUGCCUCUAUCAAUCUGCAUAAAUCCAACAAGAUGCGAUAUUAUGUAUUGGUCACAAUCUUGUGGAUACAAGUUUUAAUACCAUUGCAAGUCAAUCAAAGAGCACAGGUAGUUGCACAUAGUUUUGCAGGGUACUCUAUGAGUCUAUGUUUAUCCCUCCCGGAGAUAUUAAAUUUUCUAGAGAAAAAUGACAGCACUGUAUGCUGCGAACAAAAUAACCAUGAUCGAAUAGGAAAAAUAGUUUGUCUGGCCAAAAUUUCUAAGGCAAUCAGAGACCUGCCAUAAAAAUGAAUGAAGAAUUCAGGAGAAAAAUUGCCAAUCACUGCGUCCCAGUUUAGACCGACGUUUUCCUAAUAAACUAACCCAGCUCUUCCUACCAAUGUCACAUGCCAAAAUGUAGCCAACAUGCGAAUAGAGACAAGGAGACAUGACUUAAAUUUGGUGCCACAACCAAGACUCAAAUCCUACAUAUUCUAAUCCAGAUUCAAAUACUUAUGGGUGGAAUAUAUUUCCAGCCUAGAAAUCUCAUAUAUGGUAACUUAGUUCUCUUUCAUCAAGUUCUCCAUGUGGCUUCAAAUCUUCAUUCAUCUUUUAGCAAGAUAGUUUAUGAGAUGAAAAAUAUAAGUAACUCAAAAUCUAUUGAUUGCAAUAACUUUUUUCCUCACAAAACAUUAUAGCAGAUUAAUAAUGAUGACUUAGAGUACAUAGAUUGCAAUCAUGAAAGUGGUAAAAGUUAUAAUGGCCAUUGCCAUGCUUAUAGGAUUGUAAACUUAGACCUAUCUUUCAAAAAUUUAUCAGCAACUACAGAACUGGAAUAUACCUAACAGAAGACAGUGAUUAUUAGAUUAAGAUCCCAUGUGAGGAAACAAAUGGAGUAGCAAAUGAGGAAGAGCUCAGAUAAGUAAAUAUUUUGUGUGGACUCAAAUCUUUUAGAGUUAUUAUGGUUAAUGUUUACCAAAUUUCAACUUAACAGUACCAAGGCCUGCAAGAAGAAAAAAGAUCCCUUGAUGUUCAAGAUUCAAGAGAAGUGUGUAUGUUUUAGAAAAAAAAAAAGGGCAAACCUUGCUUUUCUCGAUCUCAGUAACUCUCCUCCUCAUGUGAUCCUUAGUUUCAUUUAUUUUGCUCUGCAUGACAAGUUUGUACAGCUUCUCUUCAUGGCUCUCCAUCUCACAAUACUGUUUAACUUGAGCAACAGUAACGUUUUCUUUGUUUCCAAGGGAAAUGGCUUCAUCAAAAGCAGAAGCAAGGUCAAAUGCUGCCCUACAGACACCUUCCUCAUCCAAAGAGGGAGAGUAUUCAGGUACCUUUAUACAUGUUCAAGGAAACCAUUGGAUUGAAUUGGCAUUUUCAAUAUGCAAAUGCUAUAAGUUUAUAGUUAGGUCAUAAGCAAGGACAACUGGUGCUAACACAGUGAUUCAUGUCUUGGCCUUUGUUCCAAAAACAAAAGGGUGGGUAUGUUCAAAUGCAUAAUCCAAAAGAAAAACAUGCAUCUAAUGCCAUCCGUGUAGCAAAAGUAAAUGAUACAGAGAUGGCAAAAAGAAAUCCUUUUCUGAUGUUGACUACGCAAUCUUCUAGCAGUAAACUAGAUGUUGAUGGUAUGAAUAUAACACAAACUGGGAACAGGAUACGAGCUUAGAGAGCAGCCUCAGUGUCUCCAGGUCUUCAAGAAUGUUACUCUGCUUAUUUGUGAUGACUAGCAGAUAUAAGGCUUCAAUAGGCUGAUAAACAUAGCGGACAUUUUCAGUCUCAACAUAGGUGUGUUGCUUUCCAGUUCCCACCAACUUCGGAAAUGCUGCAAGCAGUCCCUCGAUCCUGCUCCGAGACAUAUCAACAAAUUGUCUCGAAACAAGUGCUGCAGUUGAAGAAAAACAGAAACAACACAUUAUUUUCUAUUAAGAAUUUCAUCAGGCAAAUAGUACAGAGAAAUUUGUUGGCGGUAGCUUGACAAAAAUUAAAUGCAUAAGAGGAAACCCAUAAAUCUACUAAACGGAGCCUAUCGGGGAAAGGCCAUUAAGUGUUGACGCAACUACAGACUCAUGACUACAUAUAAACGCAAAUAUGCUACCAAAAGUAAAUAGGCUAAAUGUUCAAGGAUGAAGACAUAUGCUACAGGUACAAAAGUUACAAAAAAGGUAAGUGUUUGAGGAACAAAGAUAUAUCAUUUAUGAAUCAACAAUAAUACAUUAAUAAUCAAAUUUAAUAAAUGGGCAAUUCUCAGCCAAUUCUUAGCCAGCUUACCUUUUCCAGAUUUUGAUAUUAUAGAGGCUGCAAGGACCACCUGUAAUACAGGAAAAGGAAAAAUGAUUGAUUAUGGAUACCAAAACACGAGAUGCAACAAAGGUUACAGGAAUAACACAUAUUUAUCACUGCAAUGCCCUCUAGGCACCAGGAUCAAAGUGAAUUAGUUAUAAAAAGGAAAAAACAGCUUUGAAUCAUUCAAUCAUACCAUUUUCAAUGGUUUUGUCACCCAGGAAUAACAAAAGCUGAAUGGAGUAAUUGAUCUGCAAAAAAGAGGGUAAUUAGUUCCACAAACAAAAAGUCAUGUACAAUAUAUAACAAAGCGACUAAUAAGAACUGCAGAAGCACACCAUUCAGACUACUCAGAGAACUUAGUCACAAAAAAAAAUUCAUGCAAUUUCCAUGCUAUCAUAAGUUGGUAAAAUGCAACAAGACAAGUCAAAGGGCAGGACAUAUGAAGUUUUUAGAAAUCUCAAUUAUAAUAAUAUGAUAAUAACCCAUAGACAUAUAUCUCAAAAAGUCAAAACAAUGAGGACUUGUAAGAGUAGUUUUACAUGGUCAAUAAUUUGAGUUUAGCAUAACUGAUUUUUCUUCUUGUUUCACAGGUUUUUUAUUGUACCCUAACCAAUAGCAAAACCCAUUGCCAUGUUAUGCUGGUUUUACCAUGAACCUAACUUAAGGUUUUAGUUGGCCACAGGCUCUAAAUACAAUUUCAUUUUGAUAUAAAAAAAGUCAGAUCCAAAUAACAACUGCAAAACUCGAGCUAAAUUCUGCGCGCACAAGUCAAAAUGCUGGAAUGCCCAGGUCCAAAUUCUGAACCAACUGAUAACAAAAAGCUCAGGCUUCAGGAUCAUCCGCGGACUUAAACGUGGUGGCACUGUGGUCCAGGACAACCCACGGAAAUUACGGAAAACAAACAAUAUUCAGACGCCGCAAACAAAUCCGCAACAAUCUGGAUGGGCUCGUUCGUCCCAUCAAACACAUUAGAAUUUCGCAGAACAAAAGGAACGAGCGAUUCGUCCAAGCUAGUAGGUCUGAUCCUAACUGAGAGAAGAAGGAAUCGACCCGAGCCCGGUUAGAUCUCCCCCCCACGCUGGUCGGGGGAAACGAAGACACAGGAGAGAGGAGCGGUUGCGGUCGAAGGAUACCUGGAUCUGAUGGGAGUCGCGUUCGGCGACGGCGAGGAGGCGGAGGAGAGUUUUGCCCGCGAAGUUGGCGGGUGGGGAAUUUAUCGGCGGGUGGCGAGGUAGUCGAGCCGGACCGCGUCGGUUGGCGCGGCUCGUUGUGUUGCGAGUUGCGACCCAAGCAAGGUCAGCUAGGUCUCACUCGAUUUUUUUUAUAUAUUUUUUACGAUUUUGAAGAAAUAAAUAGUCGAAUCAAAAAUUUGUAAAAAUAGACCUAUGCCGCUGAACCAAACGGCGGUAGCAGCUUAUCGCCGGUUGAAACGGCGGCAAGGAGUCUUACCACCCCUCAUCUAGCGGGCCGCCCACAGGUUGGAAUGGCGCUGGUUUCGAGGAAGUUUCGCAGUUUCAUCUGGCGGUAAGGACGCCCCGCGAGUUCAAACGGCGAAAGCUAUCCCUUACCGCCGGAUAAGCCGACGGAGCCUCCCAUUAUAUAUUAUAAUACGGCACGUGACCGUUCCCACUCACGCGCCACAGCAAAUGGAGCGAGCCAGCCAAAGAGGGAGGGAGGGAGAUCAAAGGUAGGAGGGAGAAGAGAAGGAAGGAAGGGAGGGAGGGAGGGAGGGAGGGGAAGGAAGGGAGGGAGGGAGGGAGGGAGGGAGAUUGAAGUUUCAGUCGUCGCUUCAUUUCAGGUAUUUUUUUAAAUUUCAUAGUUUAGUUUAAUAUAGAUAUUUAGUAGUACAUAGAUCUAAUAGAUAGUUUAGUGGAUAUGAGACUUAGAAAAAUUUAGUGAAUUUUAGACAUAGGAAAAGGUAGCAUAGUCAGUAUAGUGGAUUUAGUUUAGGUAUUUAGUUCACAGUAAAUUUAGUUUGUUGAUUUAUGUAGAUUAAAUUUAGAUGAAUAUUAUUUACAUUGCUAUGGUUAUAUUUUGUUUAGGUAUUGUGUAGUUAUUAUAUGGGUAGUUAUAAUUAUUAGAUUUAGUAAGAACCUUUGUACUUGUCACGUAUAUUGUUCCGGGAAGAUGCCUAUGAUAAAUUUAGUUUGUAAGGUUGGUUUACUGUUAGUAUGGAUGAUAGAAUUAAAUGAUUUCACCAUCUAUUUAAAUGAAGGUGUCAUUCCAGUUAACUGAUUUAAGUUAUUAAGAGCAAUUUAGACUGCUCAUUUCGUGUAUGUUGGCAGACAUAUCGGAUAGGUUAUAUUUCCAAGUCUUCUAUGGUCCAAGGGAGGUUAGAAAUGGUCUAGAAGAGGUAGAUUUGAGUGGAUUUUCAUAUUUUUGCAAGUAUUUACCAAGAGCAAGAGAGGACUUGCGAAGGUAUAUGUAGGUGGCUUUGUAAGGAUUUCGGUGUUGAUAGAGAUCAAGUGGAUAUGUCUGUGAGGGCUGUAGUGAAGAGAUGGCCCGUCAUAAAUUUUUGGGAGCUGCUCCCGCUUGAAGGAACCCUGAGCUACCGAGCUUAUGUAAAGGGUUGUACGAGGCGCGGUGUACCGCUCAUAUGGUAUGUUCAACUGUUCAUGAAGGCUGGAUCUAGCAGUCAAAUGGAAGAAGAAGUUUAAAGUGCUGAAGUUCAAGCGGAGGAAGAUGUGGAGAGUACUGAUGGGGUCAAUGAAAAAAUUGAUGAUGGUGGGGCAGAAGGGGAGAUGCAGAGGAUGAUGUUGCAGCCCGUGAGCCAAAUGGGGAGACUGAUGAGGGGGAAGAAAUUGCUGAGUUAGUUGAGCAGGUGGAGAGGAAAGGAGAGGAGGCCAAUGGUGCCAUGGAUAAUGACUUGUCGGAUUAGGAAGAUGCUUACCCUGUCCCGUGGAACUGGUCAACUUAUGACCAUUCCGCCCUACAGGUCAAUGUAGGAAAAAAUAUCACUUGGGAGUACAGGGAGAAUGAGGUAUGCAUGGGUGCUUUGUACCCUAGUGGGGAUGAGGUGAAGACAGUUGUGAAGAGACAAUCUACAUUAUCUUUGCAGCGUCAGUUCAAGGUGGAGAAAAGCAACCCGACGACGUAUGAUAUCUGUUGUGUGAGAAAUGAUUGCCCAUUCAGGGUGCACGCAUACAAAGGGAAUUGGAAGGAUUACUGGGAGGUGACUAAAGAUGGUUGAGCACCAAUGCUUGCUGGAUGAAUUGGAAUGAACACACCACAACCUCACUGCUAAUUUUGUUGCUCAAUACAUGUAUCCUCAGAUAGUGCAAUAUCCUAGCUUCAAGCCCAAGGAGAAGUUCAAGUAUAAGAUUAGCUAUAACAAAGCUUAUCGAGCGAAGCAAAAGACGCUAGAGAUGAAGUGGGGUACGUUCGAAGCAUCAUAUGACAACCUCCCCGUCUUGUUGCACACCAUAUGCCAGAGGAACCCAGGAAGCUUCUACAAUGUGAAAGCGUAUCCAUGUGCUCAAUUUCCAACCAAACAAGUCUUGCAGCGGUCAUUUCUAACCUUGGGUCCUUGCAUUGAGGCUUUCCAACGAAGUCGACCAGUCAUUUGCAUUGAUGGCACAAUUCUAACUGAAAGGUAUAAAGGAACAAUAUUGGCAGCUAUUGGGUGCGACGGCAAUAAUUAGGUGUUACCGCUUGUGAUCGUAUUUGUGGAGGAGUUUGGAGAAAGCUGUUAUUGAUUCCUGGAGAGGGUGAAGAACAUGAUUGUGAAGGACUUGGAGGAGGUUUGUGUCAUUCAUGAUCAGUACAAAGGCAUUCUACAAGCAAUCGAAAACCAACAUAAUGUAAGUCAGGAGCGUUUCAGGGUAGCGAUAUGGCUAGACUUGAAGAGUAGGUGGUGCAUGAGGCAUAUGGGUGCAAACUUCCAUAAGCAAUUCAAGAACAAGAACCUUAUGACAAUGUGCAAGCGUCUAUGCAGCCAAAAUCAUGAGAGAAAAUUUAACCUGCUGUGGAAGAAACUUGACGACCUUACAAAAAAACAAUCCGAAGAACUAGGCAAGAUACCGAUGAACAGCGAGGCGGACCACCCUGUUCCUCUGGAGGAUGUGGGAGUCGAUAGUCCGACUGUCAGACGAAGACGGGGAAGGUCCAUCAAGAGCUUCUCACAGUGGAUUGAGCAUGAGCUGAAGGAAAGGGCAUUACUCUUUGAUAAGGGAGGUGCUCGGUGGGGUAUAAUGACUACAAACCUAGCUGAGGUUUACAAUUGGAUUAUGCGCGGUGUUCAGGGACUAAACCUUGUUGGUAUCAUGGAAUUCUUCCUGUACCACACCAUGAAGUACUUCAAGAAAAGGUACCAGUUGGCUGAUAACUUAAUGUGCGACAAUCACAGAAUAUAUGGGUACAAGAUGACAGAGUACAUGGAGGAGGCGAUUAAGAAGGCUCAUUUGUGUCGUGUGAUUGAAGUGGGAGCCAUGGAACACCGAUUCAAGAUUGUUUGCAGGAACAAAGCUCGAAUGGGCGGGAGGCGCGAGAAGCACACACAUGAGUGCAUCAUCAGCAAUGAAAGGUGUGUUUGAUCAUGCCACAAGCCAAGGUUGCUGCACAGGCCUUGCACCCAUGUCAUUGCUGUAUGCAUCAAGGCAGGGGGACUUCAGCCUCGUCGGUUCGUGCCGCACUAUUUCCUGAAGGAAACCAUAUGGCAGACUUGGAGGAACGAGGUUUAUGGAUAUUAUUUACUAGAAGACUUCGUAAACAAUCCUGGUAAUACCGCGCGCUACAUUCCUGACCCUGAUUCAGAAAUGUUCCAAGGGGUCGGGUGAUACAAGAACAGACGUAUCUGGAACGACAUGGAUCAAUCUGAAGCAGGUCCCGAUGUCCGCCUCUGCUCCAAGUGCCAUUAAGCCGGUCACACCUAUAAGAAUUGUCCUGCAACGAUAUAUGGAAGUGCGAGUAGCCAAGCUAGUCCAUCAAACGGUGACAGAAUUGCUGCAGAGCGUGGUUAGGGUCGUUGUGCACAUAGCAAUAAUGACGGACUUCUGUGAUUCAUGUGCUAUAUGUUUGUGAAGUCGUUGUGUUUGAAGUUUGUGAAGUCAUUAUGUUGUAUGUUUCUGAAGUUGUUGUGUCUUCAGUUUGUCAAGUACUUGUGAUUCAUGUUUGUGUACUCAUAAUUCAGGCAAACCUUUCAAAAUGUAAUGUAAUAUGUAACCUAAGUUGCAGUACUAUGACCAUGUAAAAUUUGCAUAUCUUGGACUAUUUCAUUUAUAAUAUCUCAUUUGUAGUUUGUUUUAUUUCAUUUACAUUUUGAAGUCAUUAUUAUUUCGGACGCGUACUUAUAUUUUUGUGUUGCAGGUAUGGCGCAGCUAGUUCCAGAGGGGUACCUGACUUCUGAGUUGCUCGACCCUACCUUGGACGGUCUUCACAGGUCAUUCAUGUCAGCCGUAUGGGGUUCGAGGCUGGGCACGUUUCGCGCACGUACCCCGCUUUCGACGAUGCCGAUCGACGUCCAUUGGAUUCCGAGGUAUGUCAUACUUAGUUAAAUUUAUAUGCUACAUUGUAACAUUACGUUGUUUGAACUAAAUAAUUUUAUGCAUGGUACAGGUUACGCACUGCGGGCCUUCUCCCUCUAGCGAGGUUGGUUGAGGGGGACAUGGUCGACAGCGCUGCACGGCCCGGGGAGAAGUUCACACGGUUCCACUUCGACAUAUCACUGCUAGCAACUCUGCUGGACCGUUGGCGACCGAAGACACACACCUUCCACCUCCC